GCUCUCCAGCCUCAAAACACUGAUAAGCCCAUUCUUCGAGAAUUGCUUCAUUCUCAGGACUGGUACAUUCUACGCUUUUUCGGCAGCAUAUGAUUUCUAAUAGCAUAAUUCCGAAGCUGUAAACAUCUGCUUUAACUGUCACAGGCAAGUUCCUGAACCAUUCUGGUGCAACAUAGCCUCUUGUUCCUCUUACUCCUGUAUAAGUUCUGGUUUGAUCAUGUUUUAAUAUCUUUGCCAAUCCAAAAUCAGAAAUCUUGGCACACCCAUUUUCAUUCAUGAGUACGUUCUGAGGUUUGAUGUCACAAUGGAUGAUUUGUGUCUCACAUUCUUCAUGUAAGUAAAGAAUACCUCUAGCAAUGUCACAGGUGAUUUUCAUUCUUUCGCCCCAACUUGGAUGGUUCUCUGGUUUGUGCAGGAUUUUUUCCAAUGAUCCAUUGCGCAUGUACUCAUAAACUAGAAGCCUCUUAGCUCCAUCCAGGCAGUAUCCAAGUAGCUGGACGAGAUUACGAUGAUGUGUUUUCCCAAUCAGUGAGAUUUCAUUCUGAAACUCCCUUUCCCCUUCUGCUAAUACUUUCUCAAGUUUCUUCACGGCCACAAUCUUCUUGGAAUUUGGCAAAAUCCCUUUGUACACAGUCCCAAAUGCUCCUUUGCCCAACUCUUCUCUGAAUUCAUUUGUUGCCUGCUCUAGCUCAGCAAAGGUGAAGGCCCUUGAAGCCACAUUCUCAACAAAUUCGACAUUUCCCUUUCCCAGUAUUUGUUUAUAGCCCCAUGCCCGAUUUUUCUGAACAUAAAGUCCAGCAAAUACAGAGAUCAAGAUCCCAAAAACAGUAAGUGCAAUCCCAAUUAUCAGGAUAUAGACACGGACUUCUUCCUUUCUGUGUUUUACAGGAUUACUUUGAAUUACACCUUCGUUGUUAGCUGCAGGAUUGCCGACCUUGACAAGAGCAACAUUCGGGUCAAUUGCUCUUCUUCCAUAUGUCAAUGGGAGUUUCUGUUUCUUGCAUAGUCCAUCUUUGAAGAAUGCUGCUUCGCAGUUGCAAUCUUCAAGACAAGCUUUUGCACAAUCAUCUUUCGUGCUCGUUUCCAUUCUAGAAAAUGUGUUAACUUCCCAUGCAGUGUGUUCCAAGGACUCAAUGGUGUAAUUGGCAUUUGAAUUUGUGAAAUUGCAACUAUCUGGAACAAAACUACUCUCACAGCCCGAGCUCCAAUUGCCCUGAUUGACAAACUGAAAUCCAGGAAGACAUUUGCAUUCGACCAAGUCAUCGAUUUUAGUACAGAAGGCAUUGAUCCCACAAAGGCCUUUGGGAACACAAUCAUCAGUUGAAGAUUCCCAUAUGAUUGACCAAUUGCCCCCCUGAUCUAUCGAAUGUGAAUACAAUCGGAAAAUACCAUCCACAUCAAUCUUCAUCAAAUAGAUCAUCUUGUUCUUAGGAUGUCCUCCACCAGAAAGAUUCUUCACUAUAUUAACACUUGAAUUGAUCAAGUACAGAUGCCCAUCAUCCUGGAGAUUUAGAGUUAUAUUUGGACCGUCUCCAUUAGUUCCAGAUGACCAGUAAGAAUUUUCCGCUACAUCUGUUGUGCCCACAGGGUACUGUACAAGGUGUCCAUCCGUUUGCAUCUUCAGACGAAAAAUCCCCUUCGAAUCAUCAGUUUCUGAAGCACUGGAUAUGAGCUCCUGAUCAGCUGCCAAUCGCUGACCAGGCAACAAACUAUUGGUUGGAUGCUCGAAACUCUGCCAAAUGAUUCUCUUAACAGAAUCGUAUAAAACAAAAUUUCCAGAAUCCAACAAAGAAGCUGAUGAAAUAGGUUCAGAAGGAUCAACAACAGUUAUGUCUUGGCCUUCUGGCUGUUGCAAAAUUAGCCUGCCAUCCGUAGAUAAAAUCAGUGAAACGUUGCUCGAAAAGAUGGGGCUGUCCCUGUUGGCAGUCCAAACAGCAGUUUUUUGGGGAAUUCCAGCAAGAAAAAUCCCAACCGCGUAGCCAUUGCGUUGCUGAUAGAAUCCAAGGGCAAAUAUCCCAGAUGGCGACAACCAUGAUGAUGAGUUGCCUGUGGGGGUUAAAGAAGAACCUAAACUAAUGUUAAGAGGCCUUUGUUGAGCUGCUAUUCUUGAAUGGAAUGUUGAUAAGAGGAAGAAGAACAAGAAAGCAGCCAUGUAUGGAAAUUGGGUGGUGGAAGAGAAGACAACCAGUUCUUUUUGUUCUUGCUUUUUUUCUUUUUAUUAUACUGGUUGCAUCACACUUGCUUUCUUCAUAUACGUAAAAGUUACGUAGAAAUUUGGCCUUUGCAGCGAUUCAGGUCUUCUGAGUAAAUUUUGCAUGUUUCAGUUCACAUUCAGUAUAUUGUUAGGAAGCUUCCCAAUUCUGACAUCCACACAACCUCUGUGGUGCAGAAAUAACAUUUGAAAACUCAAUUCCAUCUUAAUCAAAACUAAGAAAAUCUUGGUUGACAUGAAAACUCUCACUACAGCUGUUCUGAGAACCCCCGAUCUCACGGCAGAAGCAGGAAGCAGGAAAUGCAUGUGAAUGAAAUAUAAAUCCAGACUCAUGAGUUACAAAGUAACUUGGAUAAAAGUAAAUCAUUUUAAUCCUAUAAUUUUUGUUCGUUCAAAAGUUAUUGGGCCAGACCUUGGAUUCGAGGAAUUAUAACCUUACAAUAUUCAAGGAGUCCUUCAACUCAAGGCAUUACAACUCUACCAUGUUAGAGGAUUCUUGAAGAAUUUUAUGCCUGUUUUAGAAGGGUAAGAGGAGUCCUUAGACCUGGGGCAUUAUGUUAGAGGGGUCAAUUCAUGAAGAAUUUUAUGGAGUCUCUGGAAAUUUAUCAAGUCCGUGUUAGAGGGAUCAAUUUUCUUAUUCCACCAGGACAGUGAAGAAAUUUCUAUUAACUUCCACCAAGUCUAAAAUGAUUAAGUUUAUACUCGAGAUACUGAAAUUAUAAUCUAUGCAGUUAGAUCAAGAGUUUUGCAUUUAAAUUAAUAAUUAGUUUGGGUACGAAAUAAAAAAUUGAAUGUAAAUUAAGGGUACUAAUCAAUGCCAAACUUCAAGGAUUCAAUUGGUGGCACCAACCAUACAAGUCUAGGAUUAAUGUAUUGAGAUUUUAGAGGUAUUUUUCUUUUCUUUUUUUUCUUGAUCAUAGAGGAAGGGUGAGAUUUACGAAAUAGGGAGGGCGAAGAGGGGAUUAGAACUCAGGUUUUCAAAAUUCUAAAUUCUGAAACUUCAACUUUUACCUCUGGAUCAAAACAUAUAUAAAACUAAACUAUUGAUUUUAAAUAAAACAAUGGUGGGCAACAAAAUUUAUGAAAUCUCUCCCAGAAUUUCUUUUUUCCCCCUUUCCAGUGAUCCUCGUCCUUGUGGUGCAGCCUGCAUCCUUCACUUUUUAUAAGAGGACACAAAUUGACAAGUGUCGAUCCUGUGCAAUAAUAAAUACCUACUCGAGAAAAAUGAAUUUUCUGUGUAUAGUAGUGAGUAGGGUCGAAUCCACAGGGACUGGAAAAAAAAUUCGAUUCUUUUCAAGUUCGGGACACGGGGGAUUUUUAUCAGAUAAAACUAAAAAUAAAUAAUUAAACAAUUUAACUAAAAAUAAUUAAACAAUUUAACCAAAGAUAAAUAAUUAAUUAAUACAAUUGUAAAUAGCAAUUAAAUAAAUAAUAAAUAAAUUCUAGCCAAGGAUACAACUACGCAGACACAGUCCAUUCAUCCGAUCAUUGAUGCAAAGAAGGUUCACUUAAUUUAAUUAAUAGGCUAGUUAUAGUCGCCGAUAAGCUCUAACGACCAGCUUUUCCUUAAUUUAUUGAUAACCAAGGUACGACCGUUGAUUACCUCUAACUAGGAAAUACUCCUAGGUACGACCGUAGGAAUUAAUUUCCUAAUUGCAUUAAAAACUAGAAAAGCCUAACCCAAAUUAAUAACACGCUACGAGGGUUAUUUAAAUCAGAUUGCAUGUUCUCCUAGUAUGUGAAAAUACUAGUUGCCACUAAUAUUAACCAACUAAACAAUUACAGAUUUAAUUGAUUAAUUUGACAAGAGAUUAAAAAGUCAAAUUGCACAUCGGGCCCUUGAUAUCCAAUUAACAAAAUAAUCCCAUGGAAAUUAAAAUAGAAAACAUGCAAAUAUUAACAAAUUAAGGAACAUGUAAAAUUAAUUAGAUCUCACAGAUAUUUGGGACUGCGUCUUCGCGUUGAUCCUUGACUAGAGGAGAAAAUUAGCCACGCCUCAUAAGAAAAUCUUCACACAAUUCAAUUGAAUUUAAAGUCAUCAUCUUUCUUCGAUAAUUGAGAGAGUGAAUAACAAAGCUCUCGUAAGAGAAUAAGAAAAUUGCACACUAGAAUUCAACAAACCAAAACAACUCCCUAUUCUCUCCUCUGGAACAUCCCUCGGAGAGAAAAACUAAAACUCCUCUUCCCAGACGGAAGAGAAGAAGAAAAACUCCCCCUCCAAAUGUCUGGCUCUCCCCCGAAUAAAAACAAGCCAAUUCCAAACUCCACUCCACGCUCACAAAAGAAAACAUUCCUUCCCUACCUAAUCAACUCCACCGAAAAUAAAAGCAAAGCCAACUAUGGUUUGUCGGUUUUCUUUGACCAGGUGCACACUUUCACAAUUAAGAAAGCAAACCAAAAAUGUGUCUUUACCAUAGUUAUUAAACCCGGCCCGGGGAGGAAUCCGGUGAAGGAGGUGGGUCAACGGGUUAUUGGUUCAACCGGUGGGUGAGUGGUCCAACCGGUGGGUCACUACAUAUAUUUAAAUAUUAUGUUUUAUAAUUUUUAUGCCAUAAUAAAUAUUCAGUUAGUUUAAUUUAUUAUAGAUUCAUUAAUUUUUAUAAGAAUUAACAACCUAAAUUUAAUUAGUAAUCCACCAAAUUUCAAGUAUAAAAUUUUAUCUAAGUAUAAUUAUCUAGUUUAUUUAUGAAUUUUAAGUGCAAAAGUUUAUUAAGAAUAAUAUUUACCAUUAAAAUGAUUUGUGUAAUAUGUUAUUUUUAAGUCAAUUUCAUAAUUUAUAGAGUUCAGGGAAUAAUAAAAAUGUUAUUAAAAGAUUUCAAAUAAAUUUUGUUUUGGAGAAAUAAAAUAAGUAUAAGAUUGUAAUAUAUAAUAUAAGAACAAAGUAACUAAUAAAUUGUUGGUUGGUCCAACGGUAAUGGUUGUCUUCUUCUUUGCAUGAGGUCGCGCGUUCAAUUCUCAAUUCCAGCAAUGUUUACAAAUUUUUUUCGAAGACCGGGUUUUUCAUAAAAUCGGCCGGUUCAACCGAGUUAACCGGUUCAAUCGCCGGUCCGUUGAAAAGUCAACGGAUUCAAUGCAGAAACGAUCUUGUUAAGAACCCGACCCGGUUUCAUGGCCGGUUCACCGGGUUGACCGGUUGAACCGCCGGGCCGGACCGGGUUUAAUAACUAUGGUCUUUACACAAUGGUCAAGUCUUCGUGGUCCCCACCAACUUGAAUUCCCAAAUGCAAUUCCAUUCUUCUACGUUGGUUUGCACCAAAAUUGUGCAAAGUUCCACAAUAAUCUUCUCAAGAGGUUUCUGCUCCCAUUUCUGAAAUUAUAUCCACAUACCAAAUAUAAAUAUAUAUUGACAAUUAAAGCAAUAUUUGGCAAGGAUAAAGAGGAGAAUUAACAAUAAAAUUACUAACAAUUAACAUCCUAUCAAUUCCCCCCACACUUAAAUCAUGCUUGUCCUCAAGCAUGGGAACAACUAAAUUCAACAAUGGCUAACUCUCAUUUCAUUUACUGCCAAGCUAUGCUUAUCCCAAAAUCAAGUUUUAGUGGCUAAGUGUCAAGACAUAUUUCUCCCGAUUAGCUUCUGAAAUCAUAGACUCGUCCAAUUCAUGGCUAACUCGUCUAAGAAAUUAAAAUAUUAAACUAGCAAAAGUUAGCAAUUGGGUCAACUGAAAAUCAAAAUCUCAACAUUGAAGAACAAGGAUCGGCAGGCCAAUAGGAUCUCACAUUAUUUUUUUAACAAUUAAAUUUUUUUUUUUUUUUACAUAAAUGCUCAGUCCCAAGCUAUUCAAGUCUUUUGACGUGAACUCUGACAUUUUUAGAUGAAAGAGCCCAGUUACUCAACUUUUCACAGCUUCAGGACUAACUACUCAUAGAUAUCGCCACUUUUUGACGCGAAAGUCGACACUUGUGGUGAAAACUCCCGGUUACUGGGUGACGGCACUAGCGGAGUAGAGUCAUUUAUUAAUCACAAUUAAAGUAUCAGAAUACCAGAUAAUUAAAGAUCAUGGCCCACGUCAUCUCCUAAUAUGGAGAACUAAGAUCAACAAUUGCCCAAUCCACAUAACAAUUGCUAAUAAAAUAUUUAAAUUGCCUAAACAAGUUAACCACAAUUUGCACCAAGUCAUUAAACUCAUGAUAUUCACCAAGAUAACAUGCGUUUACUUGCCAUCUAAACAAAAUUCAUAGGAUAAAUCACAACCAGCAAUAAACGAAUGAAUUGCCAUAUUUAUUCAUCAAAACACUAGUAAGAAAAGCAGUAAAUUAAAGAAACACCAAUCAAAACUAAACCCAAAUCCCCCCCCACACUUAAAUCACACAUUGCCCUCAAUGUGAUAACGAAACAGUAAAAAUAAGAAGAAGGACAACGAAACUCCCCUUAAGCUGGUGCCAGCUAUUAGCACCUGUAGUUGGAGGAGGCGGAGCGGAGGUCAAAGGGUCGGGAUCGUGGUUUCACCAUUCUUUCCAAAUUGUACUAAAUAAAUAAAAAUCAAGCAAAGUAAAAAGAAACAAGCAAAGUAACACAGAAGUAUCCAACUAAGGAUGAAUAGAAAUGUCAGGUAGUCCAAACACGCAAAACUUUCAGAAGUGUACUGUAAUAAAAAUAAUAAAAACAUACUGCAAUAAUAAAAUAAGAAAAUAAAAAAAAAUAAUAGAAAGAGAUUGAGGCAGGCGCGUGCAUACGAAGCCAGUGGUGCGAUGAAGGUGGUGGCUGUGAGAGAGAAGAGUUUGCGGCAGCUGGAUCUGGUGGUGCUCAGCGACUGCGGGUGGUGGGCGACGGGUUGGGGUAGCGCGCGCGAGGGAGCGGCGGGCUCCAGGUGGCGCGUGCGAGGAGCGGCGAUGGCGUCGGUGGAGCAGGAAGAAGGGAGGAGACCUGGGGCGGCGGCGGCUCUGGUUGAAGGAACCAGAGAAAAGGGAAAAACCGGGAAAGAAGAAAGAAAGAAAGGAAGAAAGGAAGAAAGAAGAAAGAAAAAGAAAAGAAGAAAAAGAAGGAUUUUUUUUUUUUUUCAGGUCGUCAAACACCGCGUGGGCACGCCAAGAUUACGAAACGUCCCCUGACCUCAGGAGAUACCAACGCCGCGUGGGCGCGCCAAGAUUGGCCUUCGUCCCCUGACCUCAGGAGACACCAACACCGCAGGGGCACGCCAAGAUUUCACUUCCUGAUUUCAGUAAAGGAAAUAUGAGUACUGAUACUUCCCAACGAGUAAAUGACCCAAUGCAAAAGAACCAACUAGAAAGAACAAAACAACUAGAAAUAACAAAACUAAUAUUUGGGUUGCCUCCCAAACUAGCGCCUUUCUUUAAUGUUUUUGGCUAGACAUAGCCCAUAAUUUGCUUAAACCAAGCAAAUUGGGUCCUCCAAAUGCGUCAUCUCUACUCGCUCAACUGGAGCCUCAUCAUAAUAAGGCUUGAGACGAUGACCAUUCACCACAAAUUUCUUCUCCGUCUUCAGACUCUGGAUCUCCACUGCACCAUAAUCAAAGACAUUAGUUACAACAAAGGGACCAAUCCAACGGGAACGUAAUUUACCUGGAAAUAGCUUCAAUUUGGAGUGGUAUAGUAGAACUUUUUGCCCGCACACGAAUGUCUUCCUAGAGAUCUGUUGGUCAUGAAAGAUCCGAUUCUUCUCUUUAUAGAUCACUGCAUUCUCGUAUGCUUCAUUUCGGAUUUCUUCCAACUCUUGCAAUUGCAACUUUCUUUGAAUUCCGCCUUCCUCGAUAUCCAUGUUGCAUUGCUUGACUGCCCAAAACGCUCUAUGCUCAAACUCUACCGGGAGAUGACAUGGUUUUCCAAAUACCAAUCGGUAAGGAGACAUGCCAAUGGGUGUCUUGUAUGCCGUCCUAUAUGCCCAUAGUGCAUCCUCUAGUCUCACACUCCAAUCCUUCCUAUCGGGUCGGACCAUCUUUUCUAGAAUUGAUUUGAUCUCUCGGUUCGAUACUUCCGCCUGACCAUUUGUCUGAGGAUGGUAGGAUGUAGAGACUUUGUGCAAGACACCGUAUCUCCUAAACAUUGCAGCGAUCGUUUUGUUGCAGAAAUGAGUACCCCGAUCACUUACAAUUGCUCGUGGCAUCCCAAAGCGGACAAAAAUAUUAGACUUAACGAAUUCUGCAACCACUUUGGAAUCAUUAGUGCGGGUGGCCUUUGCUUCUACCCACUUCGAAACAUAAUCUACAGCAAGCAAUAUAUACAAAAAACCAAAGGACGAAGGAAAAUGACCCAUAAAAUCAAUGCCACAAACGUCAAAAAUUUCAACAAAAAUCAUUGGGGUUUGAGUCAUUUGAUCCCUACGAGAGAUAUUACCCACUCUUUGACACUUAUCACAUGACUUACAAAAUGAGUAGGCAUCUUUGAAUAGAGUUGGCCAAUAGAAUCCACUCUCUAGCACCUUACGAGCCGUUCUCUUUGGUCCAAAGUGACCUCCACAUGCAAAAGAGUGACAAUAUGCUAGAAUAGAUUGAAAUUCAACUUCACUUACACAUCUACGGAUGAUUUGAUCGGCACCCCGCUUCCAGAGGUAAGGAUCAUCCCAAAUGUAGAACUUUGCAUCGCUCCUCAACUUGUCUCUCUUUGCCUUAGGCCAUCCUGUAGGAAAUUUGUCAGUGACUAGAAAAUUAACAAUAUCUGCAUACCAAGGCAAGGAUGAAUUAAUAGAAAAUAAAUGCUCCUCGGGAAAUGCUUCUCUCAAUGGGAGGUCCUCUUCGACGACUUGUACUCGACUCAAGUGAUCUGCUACCAGGUUCUCUGCCCCUUUCUUAUCUCGGAUCUCCAGGUUGAACUCUUGUAACAACAAUAUCCACCGUAUCAAUCGCGGUUUUGCCUCUUUCUUGGUCAAUAAAUACCGUAAAGCUGCAUGAUCAGAAAAAAUAAUAACUUUAGCACCAAGUAAAUAAGACCGAAAUUUUUCUAAGGCAAAAACAACUGCUAAAAGCUCCUUUUCGGUGGUUGAAUAGUUCAAUUGAGCUCCGUUCAAGGCUCGAGAUGCGUAGUAGAUAGCAUGAGCUGCCUUUCCUACUCUUUGACCCAAUACCGCACCCACUGCAUAGUCGCUGGCGUCACACAUGAUUUCGAAUGGGAGGUUCCAGUCAGGGGGUUGGAUAAUAGGUGAGGUGGUCAAUAACUCCUUUAACUUAUUGAAUGCCCCCUUACAUGUUUCAUCAAAUUCGAAGGAUACAUCUUUUUGCAAAAGUUGGAACAAAGGUGCUCCAAUUUUCGAGAAGUCCUUGAUGAACCUUCUAUAGAAACCUGCGUGACCCAAGAAGGAACGAACUUCCCGCACACUCGCGGGGUAAGGUAAAGUAGAUAUAACAUCUAUUUUUGCCUUAUCAACCUCAAUACCUGUAGAUGAUACAACAUGACCCAAAACUAUCCCGUGUUCAACCAUAAAAUGACAUUUUUCCCAAUUAAGCACGAGAUUAGUUUCUAUACACCUUACUAAGAUCAAUUUCAGGUUAUCUAGACAGUUUUCAAAACUUUCACCAUAUACACUGAAAUCGUCCAUGAAAACCUCAAUAAUCUUCUCAACAUAUUCUGAAAAGAUACUUACCAUGCAUCUUUGGAAGGUAGCAGGUGCAUUGCACAAUCCAAAUGGCAUCCUUCGGUAUGCAAAUGUUCCAAAUGGGCAGGUGAAAGUAGUCUUCUCUUGGUCCUCGGGUGCGAUGGCAAUUUGAAAAUAACCUGAAAAUCCAUCCAAGAAACAAUAGUAAGCUCGACAUGCUAAUCGCUCCACCAUUUGGUCAAUGAAAGGGAGGGGGAAAUGGUCCUUUUUCGUGACGGCAUUUAGCUUUCGGUAAUCGAUACACUGUCGCCAUCCGGUGGGCUUUCGAAUUGGUACGAGCUCACCCUCUUGGUUUGAUUCCACUGUCACCCCUGCCUUCUUCGGGACCACCUGUACUGGACUUACCCACGGGCUAUCUGAUAUUGCAAAUAUAAUUCCAACGUCCAGCAGUUUUAAAAUCUCUUUCUUUACGACCUCCAUCAUGAGAGGAUUUAAUCUCCGUUGAGCUUGCCGUACGGGUUUAGCAUUCUCCUCGAGUCGAAUUCGGUGCAUACACACCGCGGGACUAAUUCCCUUGAUGUCGGCGAUGGUCCAUCCUAUCGCCUGCUUAUGUUCCCUAAGAACUCGAAGUAGUUUCUCUUCUUGAACCUUUGAUAAACCCGCGGAGAUGAUCACUGGAAGUGUCUCCCCUUCACCCAAGUAUGCAUAUUUCAGGUGUUUCGGCAGCGGUUUCAGUUCCAAGACAGGUGCCUGCACCACAGAUGGAAGUAACCUUUUGUGAGGUUCAGGUAUAAAAAUGGGUGCGAGGUCAUACCUUGUCUUCGUGGUUGGUAACGUUUGCAACGAUCCAAUCACGCAUUUAAGCUCUUCACUCAACUCUACUCCAGAGGUUGUUUCGGACUCGAAGUGCCUGGUCAGAACGACCUCUAACUCAUCCCUGCCUUCAAUUUCAAAAACCUCCUGUAUAGCAGGGUCAAUAACAUUUACCGAGAAAACAGAGCCAACAUUUGAAUCGGAUGGAUAUUUCAUGGUCUCAAAAAUGUUAAAGUGAACAAUCUCACCAUCAAAUUCCAUAGACAAAGUACCCUUAUUAACAUCAAUUUUGGUUCGGGCUGUGCUCAAAAAGGGUCUACCUAACAAUAGAGGUGACGGAUCACGGGAGUGUUCAUCCUCCAUGUCGAGCACAUAAAAAUCAGCUGGAAAAACCAAUUCAUUAAUUUUUACCAAAACAUCUUCAAUCAACCCGUCAGGGUAUGCAUUGGUCCUGUCAGCUAAUUGGAUUAUUAUCCCAGUUUCUUUCAAAGGGCCUAAGUUCAAAGAAGCAUAAAUAGAUUUCGGCAUGACAUUAAUCGAUGCUCCUAGAUCUAACAUGGCCUUUCCAAUCAAAAUAUUACCUAUCCUACAAGGAAUAGUAAACAUACCUGGAUCUCCGCAUUUCGGUGGAAGCUUUCUUUGUAGAAUUGCUGAAACAUUCUCCCCAACUAUAACUCGUUCAUCCCCUUUCAACCGCUUGCGAUUGGCACACAGGUCCCUCAAAAAUUUUGCGUACCUGGGUACUUGUUUAAUCGCAUCCAGUAGGGGUAUGUUGAUCUCCACCUUGCGAAAGAUCUCCAGGACCUCUUUUUCCUUGUCUUGCUUCUUUGGUUUCUCUAACCUGCUAGGAAAGGGAGGUGGAUUAGUUUUAGUUGUAGGAAUUGGGUUCGAGGGUACCUUUGCAUUUUUGUUGUCUGUGCCCUCCUCUUCCAAUUCUUUUUCAAUCCGUUCCUCGUCCUUGUCUUUAGGAAUCACCGGUUCGGGUCCUUGAACUUCCUUGCCACUCCUUAAGGUCAUUGCACUUACAUUCUUUGGAUUUGCCUCAGGUUGAGAUGGCAAUUUUCCUUGAACUUGGGACUCCAAACGGUUGAUUGUUAUAGCCAUUUGAUUCAUUUGAUUUUGCAAUGAUUGCACCUGUCCCAGUUGAUUUCUCAUGCUUUGCAGGUCUGAAUCCGUCUUUUGUUGAUUGGCAAGUAAUUGCUUCAUCAUUUCUUCCAUGGACGGACUUGAGUUUGAAGGGGGUGGUGGUGGUGGUGGGCGAGGAUGAUACUGCUGUUGGUGUCCUUGCUGUCUAUUUGGCACAAAGUUAGACUGCCUAUUUCCUCCAUAGCUAAGGUUGGGGUGAUCCCUCCAACCAGGAUUGUAGGUGUUUGAGUAUGGAUCAUAUGGCUUUCUUGGCGCGGGCGCGUGGCCAGCCAUGUUCACCUGUUCUGCAGUUUCUUCUUGAACCAGUGGACACAUUUCCGUAGGAUGACCCACGGCAGUGCACACCCCACACACUUUGGCUUGUGAAGCAUUCCCCACAGCUAAUUGUCUUACAAAAGAUGUUAAUUCGGAGAUCUGCUGUUGGAUAGAGGACGUUUCCACCUCAUUCACCCUGCGCGUCGGGAUGUCCUCUCUUGAACCAAACUGUUGUGAGUUCUCAGCCAUCCCUUCAAUCAACUCCCAUGCUCCUCGAGGGGUUUUGUUCACCAACGCCCCUCCACUUGCAGCAUCGAUUAUGCUUCUGUCCCUGAAAAGUAAUCCCUCAUAGAAAUAUUGGAUGAGCAGUUGCUCACUUAUCUGAUGUUGAGGGCAUUUGGUGCACAGUUUCUUAAACCUCUCCCAGUACUCAUAGAGUGACUCGCCUGGGUGUUGUUUGAUGCCACAUAUCUCUUUCCUUAGGCUCGCAGCUCGAGACGCCGGAAAGUACUUGUCCAGAAAUUUUUUCUUCAAUUGAUCCCACGUGGUGAUACUACCAGGUGGUAGGUAGUAGAGCCAGUCUUUUGCGGAGUCCUUCAAAGAGAAGGGGAAAGCCCUUAUCUUUAUUUGCUCUUCUGUAAUUCCCGGAGGCUUCAUACUGUUGCAAACGACGUCGAACUCUUGCAAGUGCUUGUAGGGCUCCUCACCUGGUAGACCAUGAAAAGAUGGCAAGAGAUGAAUUAGACCAGAUUUUAGUUCAAAGGGAGUGUCAUCAUUUAAAUUUGGAAAAGUAAUGCACAAGGGCUGCUGAUUUAAAUCAGGAGCAGCCAACUCCCUUAAUGUUCGUGCAUUUGCCAUAGUGACUUCCUCUUGGUCUGAAUCACUCGAAUUGUCACCAGACAAAUUUGUCGGCUCAACCUCUGGAUCAAGUCCCUGAGGUGCAAUACCGUAUUGCUCUUCUCUGAGCUGCCUGGUUUCUUUCCUCGUUCUACGCGCGGUCUUCUCUACUUCAGGGUCGAAAACUAAUUCGCCUGUACGAGAAGAGCGAGACAUAAACUAGAAAAAAAAUACCAGAAAAUUAGAACAAAAAUGAACUUAAAAAGAAACAAAUAAUUAACGCCAGUCCCCGGCAACGGCGCCAAAAAUUGACAGGUGUCGAGCCUGUGCAAUAAUAAAUACCUACUCGAGAAAAAUGAAUUUUCUGUGUAUAGUAGUGAGUAGGGUCGAAUCCACAGGGAUUGGAAAAAAAAUUCGAUUCUUUUCAAGUUCGGGACACGGGGGAUUUUUAUCAGAUAAAACUAAAAAUAAAUAAUUAAACAAUUUAACUAAAAAUAAUUAAACAAUUUAACCAAAGAUAAAUAAUUAAUUAAUACAAUUGUAAAUAGCAAUUAAAUAAAUAAUAAAUAAAUUCUAGCCAAGGAUACAACUACGCAGACACAGUCCAUUCAUCCGAUCAUUGAUGCAAAGAAGGUUCACUUAAUUUAAUUAAUAGGCUAGUUAUAGUCGCCGAUAAGCUCUAACGACCAGCUUUUCCUUAAUUUAUUGAUAACCAAGGUACGACCGUUGAUUACCUCUAACUAGGAAAUACUCCUAGGUACGACCGUAGGAAUUAAUUUCCUAAUUGCAUUAAAAACUAGAAAAGUCUAACCCAAAUUAAUAACACGCUACGAGGGUUAUUUAAAUCAGAUUGCAUGUUCUCCUAGUAUGUGAAAAUACUAGUUGCCACUAAUAUUAACCAACUAAACAAUUACGGAUUUAAUUGAUUAAUUUGACAAGAGAUUAAAAAGUCAAAUUGCACAUCGGGCCCUUGAUAUCCAAUUAACAAAAUAAUCCCAUGGAAAUUAAAAUAGAAAACAUGCAAAUAUUAACAAAUUAAGGAACAUGUAAAAUUAAUUAGAUCUCACAGAUAUUUGGGACUGCGUCUUCGCGUUGAUCCUUGACUAGAGGAGAAAAUUAGCCACGCCUCAUAAGAAAAUCUUCACACAAUUCAAUUGAAUUUAAAGUCAUCAUCUUUCUUCGAUAAUUGAGAGAGUGAAUAACAAAGCUCUCGGAAGAGAAUAAGAAAAUUGCACACUAGAAUUCAACAAACCAAAACAACUCCCUAUUCUCUCCUCUGGAACAUCCCUCGGAGAGAAAAACUAAAACUCCUCUUCCCAGACGGAAGAGAAGAAGAAAAACUCCCCCUCCAAAUGUCCGGCUCUCCCCCGAAUAAAAACAAGCCAAUUCCAAACUCCACUCCACGCUCACAAAAGAAAACAUUCCUUCCCUACCUAAUCAACUCCACCGAAAAUAAAAGCAAAGCCAACUAUGGUUUGUCGGUUUUCUUUGACCAGGUGCACACUUUCACAAUUAAGAAAGCAAACCAAAAAUGUGUCUUUACACAAUGGUCAAGUCUUCGUGGUCCCCACCAACUUUGACAUGUUGUCUAGCCAAAUUGAAUUCCCAAAUGCAAUUCCAUUCUUCUACGUUGGUUUGCACCAAAAUUGUGCAAAGUUCCACAAUAAUCUUCUCAAGAGGUUUCUGCUCCCAUUUCUGAAAUUAUAUCCACAUACCAAAUAUAAAUAUAUAUUGACAAUUAAAGCAAUAUUUGGCAAGGAUAAAGAGGAGAAUUAACAAUAAAAUUACUAACAAUUAACAUCCUAUCACAAAUAACAGAUUAACAAAACAUGCCUGGGGAGACUUCCACAAGACUUGUGGUGUUUAGACGGUCCUGCCACGGAAUACCUUUCGGCUGUGCUGGAAAUGUGUUAAUGGUUUGACGGAGAGAUGAAUAUGGAAGCUGCAAAUCUUGCAAUGACUAGGUGUGUGUGCUUUUGCUCCUUACAUGUUGCUCUCAAUAUUAUUGGUAGACUAUUCCUUUUAAGAUUAAUAGGGGGGAAAACUAUUUUUUAAAAUUAUUUCCAGCAAAGGAAAGGUAGAAUUUAAAAAGUAACGAAGCAGUGACGGACGCAGGAUUUUGGUUUGGAGGGAGGGGGGAGGGGAAUGAUCAAACAACGAGUAACAAAAAAUUAUCAAAACAAAUGAUGCACUCUAAUCUAAAAUUAAAGUCUUAAAACCAAAGUUUAAUAGGUGAUAACUAAACACUAAAUGUUUUUAAUAAGAAGAGACAAAAUAUAAGGCAAAAGAUGAAAAUUAGGUCAUGGACCAAAAUCAUAUAGACAUUAACCCUAUAAAAAUUAACACAAAAAUGUUAAGAUACAAAUUUUAGAAUAAGAACAAUUGACAGAUUAAUAAUCAUAAAAAAUAAUCUAAAUCACAAAUUUAAAAUAAGUAUAUGUGUCCAAAUAAUGAAUGAUUAUGAAUCAAAUUAUAAAGGGAUUGUAAAGGAAAAAAAUUAAACUCGCAUUGAAAAAAUGGAGUUUUGGGACGAGUCGAUAUUUGAAAUAAGUUGAACGAAUGUGGGAAAAGAUGGAUGCUUGCUUCUUGGUUUAGGCGUUGGCUUUUGACUAAUACAUCAAGUCAAUUGCAUAUAACUAUAAUUCUAAAUAUAAUUAAAUUUCUUUUUAUUUGUCAAUUAUUUGUUUCCUUACCUUAAGUAAUGUAAGGACAUACUAAAUAGUAAAUACAUUAAAGCUAUAAUAGUGAAAUUUAGUAUAUAUAUAUAUAUAUAUGUAUGUAUGUCUGUGUGUGUGUGUGUCUAAUGAAACUAGAAUGACAUAUUAUAAAACAAAUUUUAAAAAUUAAAGGACAUAAACAUGUUAACUAACCAAAAAAAUUGUUGAGGAACAAAAUGAUAGAGUUCAAAUUUAAAUAUAAUAUACCAUAUAGAAUUUUUGGAAAAUUUUAGGGAUAGGGGGGUGGCUGCCCCAACCCGCCCUCCCUAUGUCCAUCAUUGCAGGGAGGGAUAGGGAAAUUUGAACCCAGGACUUAAGAAUUUUUAUCCAAAAAUAAUGUUUAAUUAUAUCUAUUGUUUGUGGAUCAAACAUGAAGCAUAAAAAGGGUUGGUUUAGUUGCAUACAUAGUUUGAAAGAAUGUUUCUAUGUUGUCUAUUAUUUAGAGAAAACAAAAUUUUCAGUUCUCUCCUUUCAUCACUAAUUAAAUUAAGUGCAAAAUCUUUCUAGCUUAUGUGCAAGCAUGUACUGGACUCAAAUGAUAUUAAUAUGUACAAUUAAUUCCAUUGUAAGAGUUUUUCAUUAAUUGAUAAGUUUUUUUUUUUUAUAUAUAGGUUAAAAGUUGGAUUACAGUUGUAAGAUUUUGUGUUUGUACAUUCUUCCGAAUUUUGCCGAUAAGUAUCUCUUUCUAUAUAAGUUGAAUCACUAGGUUAAUUAUCCUGCCAAACAACAUUAUUAUUUUCCAGAGGCUGCAUGCACCAAAUUAGUUGAGGAGUGAGGACCAAAUUUGGACUCUAAUACCAAUAAUACAGUUAAUUGUAGAAUAUAUUUUCUACUACAUCUAAGAAUUUGCGUCUAAUUGUUUAGGUACUAUAAGACAUCUGCAAUUCAACUAUUCUUGGUAUAGCAAAAAAACAACCUUUUUUUACAUAAUACUAUGGCAAAUAACAAGUUUUUACCUAAUAAUGAGUCUCGGUGGGAUUAGUAAUAAGAGUCUACGAAUAUUUAUGGCAACUAUUCAAGUACAAAGUAGAAAUAUAGAAGUGAUACAUGUAAAAAACUAGUAAAGGAGAAUGUGUAUUGUAAAAGUACUAUAUAUAUUAUGCCCUUUUUGUUCUUAUAUAUGAUUAUGCAUCGGCAGUUGCAUGUAGCACUUUUUAUUUCUAGUAUAAUGUAGUAAUAUAGAACUGCUUAUAUAAAAAUGCUAUUAUAGGAGUAACUUUUUUUUUUUCGACAUAAAACCAUGGCACUUAAAGUUUUACUUAACAACAAGUCCAAGUAUAAAGUAGAAAUAUAGAAGUAAAUGAUUGACAAUCCAACCACAAUGUAAAUGACAGAAUUUAAAGUUUUAAAAGAGACACCAGAAUUAUGUGGAACUUAAAAACGAUGUAGGACUGGGAGGAUCUGGAAUAUCAACAGUUCCUUCGAGCAUCAGAAGAACUUUCUUCAUGGAUGGACGAAGUGCUGGCUCAUCUUGGAUGCACCAGAGAGCUAUCUUCAUCAUUCUUUCCAGUUUUCUCAUGUCAACAACCUCCUGAUCACCAACCAAUUUAUGCAGCUCUCCGGCUUUGAAACACUGGUAAGCCCAAUCUUCAAGAACAGCUUGAUCCUCAGAAAAGCUCCAGUCUAGACUUUUUCGGCAGCAUAUGAUCUCCAACAGCACAAUCCCAAAGCUGUAAACGUCUGCUUUAACUGUCACGGGCAUCUUCCUGUACCAUUCUGGUGCAACACAGCCUUUUGUUCCUCUAAAAGUUGUGUGAGUUCUUGUUUGAUCACGCUUUAAUAGCUUUGCAAGCCCAAAAUCAGAAAUCUUGGGACACCUGUUUUCAUCCAUGAGUAUAUUCUGAGGUUUAAUGUCGCAAUGGAUGAUUUGUGUCUCACAUUCUUCAUGUAAGUAAAGAAUGCCUCCUGCAAUGUCGCGGGCAAUUUUAGUUCUUUCGUCCCAACUCGGAUGGUUCUCUGGUUUGAGAAGGACAUCUGCCAAUGAUCCAUUGCUCAUAUACUCAUAAACUAGAAGCCUCUUAGCUCCAUCAAGGCAGUAGCCGAGCAGCCGGACGAGAUUGCGGUGAUGUGUUUUCCCAAUCACCUUGAUUUCAUUCUGAAACUCCUUUUCGCCUUCUGCUAAUACUUUCUCAAGUUUCUUCACAGCCACAACCUUCUCAGAAUCUGGCAAAAUCCCUUUAUACACAGCCCCAAAUGCUCCUCUACCCAACUCUUCUCUGAAUUCAUUUGUUGCUUGCUCCAAUUCAGCAAAAGUAAAGGCCCUUGGAGCCACAUUCUCAACAAAUUCAACAUUUCUGAAUUGUGAUACCUGCUUAUAAGCCCAUACCUGAUUUCUACGAACAUAAACUCCAGCAAUUACAGAUAUCAGAACUCCAAGAACAACAAGGGAAAUCCCAAUUCUUAGAACAUAGACACGAACUUCUUCCUUUCUGCAUUUUAGAGGAUUACUUGGAAUUACACCUUCAUCUAUAGUUGCAUGUUUGUGGACCUUGACAAGAGCAAUAUUCGAGUCAGUUUCUCUUUUUCCAUAUGUCAAUGGGAGCCUCUGCUUCUUGCAUUGUCCAUCUUUGAAGAAUGCUGCUUCGCAGUUGCAAUCUUCAAGACAAAUCUUUGCACAAUCUUCUCUCGUGCCUGUGUUCACCAUGGAAAAGGUGUUAUCUUCCCAUACAGUAUUUUCCAAGAAUUCAAUGGUAUGGUUGACAUUUGAAUCCGUGGAAUUACAACUAUCUGUAACAAAACUCCUCUCACAGCCCAACCUCCAAUUUCCUUGAUUGACAAACUGAAAUCCAGGAAGACAUUUGCAAUCGACCAAGUUAUCAAUUUUAGUGCAAAAGCCAUUGAACCCACAAAGGCCUUUAGGAUCACAUCUAUCAGUUGAGGAUUCCCAUAUGAUCGACCAAUUGCGCCCCUGAUCUACCGAAUAUGAAUACAGUCGGAAAAUACCAUCCACAUCAAUCUUCAUCAAAUAGAUCAUCUUGUUCUUAGGAUGUCCUCCAUCAGAAAGAUUCUUCACUAAAUUAACACUUGAAUUGGUCAAGUACAGAUGUCCGUCAUCCUCGAGAUUUAGAGUUACAUUUGGACCGUCUCCAAAUGUUCCAGAUGCCCAAUAGGCAGUUUCCUGUUUGUUUGCUGCUCCCACUGGGUAUUGUACAAGGUUUCCAUCUGUUUGCAUUACCAGACGAAAAAUUCCUCUUGAAUCAUCAGUUUCUGAAGCACUGGAUAUCAGCUCCUGACCGGCUAUCAAUUGCUGACGAGGCAAUAAACUAUUAGUCGGAUGCUCGAAACUUUGCCAUAUGAUUCUCUUAACAGAAUCGUAUAAUACAAAAUUUCCAGAAUCCAACAUAGAAGCUGAUGAAAUAGGUUCAGAAGGAUCAACAACUGUUAUGUCUUGGCCUUCUGGCAGCUGCAAAAUGAGCCUGCCAUCUGUAGACAAAAUCAGCGAAACAUUGCUCGAAAAAAUGGGGUUAUCCCUGUUGGCAGUCCAAACUGCAGUCUUUUCAGGAAUUCCAGCAAGAAAAAUCCCCACAGCAUGGCCAUUGCGUUGCUGAUAGAAUCCAAAAGCAAAUAUUCCAGAUGGCGACAACCAUGAUGACGAGUUGCCUGUGGGCGUUAGAGAAGAACCUAAGCUAAUGUUAAGAGGGCUUUUUUGAGCUGCUAUUCCUGAAUAGAAUGCUGAUGAUAGAACGAAGAACAAAAAAGCAGCCAUGUAUGGAAAUUGCGAGAUGGAAUAGAAGAGAAGCAGCUUUUCUCUUGCUCUUCUGCGGAUACACUGGUUGCAUCACACUACUUAAUAUGUGUGUGAACUGAUAGAAAUUUGUCUGUGCAACGACUCAGAUCUUCUGGGGAAAAUAGUUGUAUUCAUGUUUUGAAAGUAGGAAAAAUGAAUCAGUUGAAACUUUCAACUUCCAUUUGUACAGAAACUUCUACGGAUAACCUACUAGACAGAGUAAAGACUGGGAGAGAUUUUCAUCCCGACGUCCCAGAAGUCGCAGAGUCAACAAAUUGAAAUUUGAAUAUUCACUUCCACUGUGAUCAAACUUAUAAUUCACACCUGUCUUUUCAAAAUUAAGUUGAAAAAGUAUUGGUAUUCUUGAAUGUUGAAAAAAUUGAGGAAUGUUUUAAUCAUACGCUUUAAAUUGGCACCCAAUGACUUGGUCAACUGAACAUCUGUAAUACUUUAUUUCACUCAACAAUGAAGCCUCAACUUUCAAUUCAAGUUUACAGGAAAUUUCUUCUACUAAAAAAUAAAUUACAUAUAUUCAAAUUCAAUAGAUCGUUGACAGGUGCCGAACCUGUGCAAUAAUAAAUACCUACUCGAGAAAAAUACAGAUUUUGUAUAUAGCGGUGAGUAGGGUCGAAUCCACAGGGACUGGGGAUAAUUCGUUUCUUCUAGAGUCCAAAGUAUGGGGGGUUUUGGAUUAAAUGCUAACUAAAUAAAUUAACUGCAGAGAAUAAUUAAUUUAAAAAAAAAUGAUUGGGGAAACUCUAGCCAAGGGUACACAUCAGAAAUGGUUCAUGCACUGAUCAUUGAUGCAGAAAUAAUUCCAAAACUUAGCAAUAGAUUAGUUAUAGUUGUCAUGCACGCGAUAGACAACCAACCCUUCCUUAAUUUUUCGAUAGCUAAGGUACGACCGUUAGCUAUUUCUCUAACCCAAAAAUAACCCUAGGUACGACCGUAGGAUUUAAUUUCUAGAUUGCAUUAAUAAUUAGAAAGGUACAAUCCUAACCAACAAACACGCUACGAGGGUUUUUUAAAUUAGAUCAUAUGCUCCCCUGACAUAAACCCAAUUACGCCAGUUGCUACUGAGGUAGAGAUAACGAACAAUUACGGAUUCAAUUACCCCUAUUUAGCAAAAAUAGCCUAUAUGAAUAAUUAAUUAUUGCGCACUAAUCAAUCAUACACAAUGCCAUAGCAAUUAAAAUCAAGGAACAUAUAAAUACCAAUAAAUGAAGAAAAUAAUUAAAACAGAUUCGAUCUCACAGUAAUUGUCGAACCAAAUCGUCAGUUGUCCCCUUGACUAGAAAAGCUUAACCACGCCUCAUGAGAAAAUCUCCCCGUUCGGGAAUAUUGUUGAAUACCUGGCGUGUGUCAGAGGCCAGUCCAAAGAAAGAAAACUAGAACUAAACUAAAAAACUAAAACUAAAGCCCUAGAUGUCCUUUGCUUCUGUACGUUGUCCCCUUUUAAAGCAACAAAAGAAAGAUGACUAAAAGCUAUCUAGGUGGUCCCCACACAUGUGGACAAAGCCUCCCAAGCACUUCCUAUUCCAAGUCUCUCUACGUUGCUUUCUUUGAAGCCCAAAUGACCAAAUGCCUUUUCACUAGCUUGUGGUCCCCCACCAAUUCAAGGGCCCAAGGAUUGAAGCCCUUAGAAGUCUCCAUAUUUUUCACAAAGUCCCUCCUUUUUGGUAGUUUCCUGCUUCAUUCCUGAAAUUGAUUCCAAAUACCAAAUAUGAAUAAAUAUCAGCAAUUAACACAAUAUUUGUCAGGGAUAGAAGGGGAAAUCAAUAAUAAAAUUACUAACAGAUUAUACCCUAUCAAUUCCCCCCACACCUAAAUCAUGAUUGUCCUCAAGCAUAAGAACAGCAAUUGAACACCAGAUUUUGACUAUGGCUAUUGCUCUAACUAUCACAUUGCCAAGAUACCCAGAAAAACAUAUAUCAAGCAUCACAGUUAAGAUCCAAGAAAAACCACUCCGGUUAGCUUCUCAACCACCAACUCCUCCAAUUUAAAGCAAACUAAUCUAAGGAAAAGGAAUGGUUGCUCACAUCUAUCAGUAAAUGGUCCAACCAUUAAUCAAAAUCUCGACAUUAAGAUCACAAAUCGGCAAGCUGACUUGUUCACAUACUAACACAAUCUUUAUUUUAUUUUUUUCCCUUUUUUUUCUCUCUUUUUUUUUUUUUUUUGAGUAACAAAAGACUUAGUCUAUAGCCCUUAGAAUCUUUUGACGCGAACUCCAACAUUUGAUAGAUGGAGGAGCCCGGUUACUCAGCUCCAAUCGCUAUAGGACCACGCACUCAUAGCAACUACUACCUUUUGACGCGAAAAUCGACACUUUAGGUGAAGAUUCCCGGUUACUCAGUAGUAAUCACUAGCGAAAUACAGUCAACUCUUAUUUACAACCAUACAGCACAAUAACUAAAAAAAUAACACAAAAAUCACAGCAGCCAGCCUCAAAUUUCCCAAUAUGGAGAACUAAAAUUAAUAACUGGACCAAUUCACAUGAAAAAUGCCAACAAUCAUUCCCUAUGCCUAGAAAAGUUAACCAAAAAUUGAAAAAGUUAAGCAAUUAUUGAUAUUCACCAAAGAGAUGUUCAUGAACUCAAUCCACAUUAGCUUGAUACCCAUCUUUUUUUUUUUAUUUAAAACUUGGCAAGAGCAGACUUAGAGGCAACAAUCCAACAUCAAAACUUGGUAUUCAUAUGAAGACUGACCACUAAAAAGAAAGAGAAGAAAAUAAACGAAAAAUAGAGCAAAUAACAAAAAUAAAGGAAAACAUGUAAAAACUAAAAAUUAGAAAUACUAGCUGUACCACAACUGUCCCCCCCCCACACCUAUAUCCUACAUUGCCCUCAAUGGAGGGAUUAAAGCAAUUAAAGCGAAGAGGGCAACGAAACUUCCCUCACGAGUGGCGAAAGGAUAGGAGGGAACAGUGGAGGGAAGCCGAGUUCUGAGACAUCCUUGCCACUUAGCGGGUGAUGUUCGUCAUUCGUUCAUCUACGUUGUGAACCUGUGCUUGUAAAUGGCGCCACUCACCAUUGACGCCAAUUAUCACCCCAAACAACAAAAGACAGAAUAUCCAACAAAGAUAGCAAUCACCAACGCACAUUCAUAGUCACUGGUGUUCCCCAACUCAACAAUUAAAAGCAAACACGGGUCACCCAAGCCCAAAUAUGGUCAACAAAGCAACAGUUGCACUCCAAAACUAACAACCAGCAAUUAUUAUCAACAACUAGAAACUAGCAAGGUCACAUCAAUAAGCACAGGGGCUACCCAAAUCAGUCAGUCAACAAGCAAACUCGGGCCAUCCAUACUCUCAACAAAUGCAUUCUAAAAUUUCAACAAAUGCCUCCACCAGUCAAACCAUAACCACUGCCCCAAUAAUAUGCUAAAUUCAGCAAUAGAUGUGUAGAAAAUUAGCAAUAGCAACACAGUCGCACGGUAUUGGCAGUUAAUCAAAUAUCCAACCAACUAGAGUUAACUAGUUCCAGAUAAAAUAUUCCAAUAAUAGCACCUAAAGACUCAACAAAUGCCCCCAGUAGUGAGCCUCAAGAAGUGAACAGGUCAAGCAAUAGUAGUGGAAAACUCUGACAUUAACAACUAAAUCUCAAACCCCUAGCUUCCAAGCAGUCAGCCAAUAGAGUAGAAUUAAUCUAGUGGAGUCAAAACACCCACAGAGUUGACGAAAUAAUUCUAACGACUGACCCAAAGUAAUGAAAACUCCAACACUUUUGCAUGGGUUUUAACCAAUAUUAACCAAUCACCAGGAUGUCCCCAACAAUUAAACGAAAUUCUACCACCCUCAACAAGUAAAUCAAGCAACCAGGUUUUCCAAAUCAACAGGCAGUAGCAGAACCAGAUCACCCAAAUAUCAAUAGACAAUUGCAGUAUGUAGGCCCACCCAAAAUCUCAACAGAUGGCUCCAGUUGGCCAGGCAAUGUCAUAAGUCAAAACUAGCAAAUGCAACUACGACAGCUUAGAAAUUUGUCCAUAAGAACUCAGCCAACCAAUUAGAGGUAACAGAUUCAAUUUAACAUAUUCCCACCAGUACCACUGGGAAUAAACUCUAGUAAAUGGAAAAUCUCAACUAGCCAACCGAAUCAGCAAAAAUUUCAACAAAAAUCCAGGUGAAGCAGCGCUCAGUGGAUGCUCAUAGUAGUCCAGCAAUUCACUUCACUUAUGCAAAAAAUAAAGCAGCAAAACAAAUCUCAAUCGACUCCAAAAUUACCCUAUGCACUUGAAAUUGCAAAAUUACCAACACGGGUUGUUGGACAUGUUAAAGAACAGGAGUUAGACGAAUACCUCCACCUUGACGCCUACAUGGAGCGAAGGUGCGGCAAGGGACUCGGCAGCUUACGACGCACAGGUGAGCAGAGGCGGCGCUUGGAGAUCCGCGGCUAUGCGAGUGGUGUGGGCUGAGAGAGAGGGCGGCGUGCGGCAGUGGAAGUGUUGGAAUCGGAGGACGAGCUGGAGCUGGAGCUGUGGGUUGCUGUGGCUGGUCCUUUUCCGAUGGGCGAGCGACGCGCACGAGACCGAGGUGGCGGAGCGCGCGAGGUGGGCGUCGGCCGUGGGCUGCUGGCGACGAAGCUAGGUUGUGCGCGAGGUAGAGCUGGGGCUGCUGCAGAGGUGGAAACGAGCUGGAGGGAGGCGCGGAGUGCUGGUUGGCCCGCCGCGCGUGAGAUUGGGCGGCAGAGUGGGCGGCUCGGGCGGCAACAUGGGAGAGAUGAACUGGUGGUGGAGAGAGCGAGGGGGUGAAGGGGAGAGAAGGGACGCGGUGGCUGCUGGAGGCUCGCGUGGCAGCGGUGGGUGGCUGCGAUGGUGGCGCGCAGUGGGAUCUUCAGCAGCUACGGCGGCGUGCGACGCAGAGAGAAACAGAGGAGAAGAAAGAAAGAAAAGAGAAAGAAAGAAAGAAAAGAGAAAGAAAGAAAGAAAGGAAGAAAGAAAAGAAAGAAAGAAAAGAAGGAAAAAGAAAAAGAAAAAAAAAGAUUUUUUUUUUUUUUUUAGGCUCCCUUUGAGCUACGGUGAGAACCAUUUUUUUUCUUUCUUUUUUUUCGGUUUUUUUCUUUUUUUUUUCUGCGGAAAUCAAUUUUUUAUUUUUUAUUUUUAAUUUUGGAAGCUAAAGCUACGGUGAUAAGAAAAAUUCUCUUUGUUUUUUUUUUUUUUUUUUUUUUACCUUUCCCACGAACGUGACGCGGGCACGUCAUGAGGGCAAGAGAGCUCCCAGAAGUUUCUGAUCGUGAGCUUCCUGCACAUCACCACGCGGGCGCGUCAUGACUGAAGGUCACCUACAAAUCAGCAAAAACGAAAAUUAACACCCAAAAUCAGUCAAAUUCAAGGAAAAAUAGAUUUAAACUAUGACACGAAACCAACAAACAACUAAAAGAAACAAUUGGGUUGCCUCCCAAUGAGCGCCUUUCUUUAAUGUCUUUGGCUAGACAUUAUCAUGUUUUGUUCAUGGAGGAUAAAAUCGUGUGGCUCGUCUUAAUGCUUCAUCCUCUAUAUAGUCCUGAUAACCCUCGUAAAUAGAAUAAUCCUUGAGCAUACGAGCUACGGGCUUCCAUGGACUAGUGAAUGGCGCCAAACGAGUCGAUGAUAAGUUGAAUUCUCCGUUCACUCCUCCCCCACUUGCAUUUAUUGGUUCAAGAUAUCUUGCCAUCGCCACUCUUAAUUUAUUCCUGUCAUGAAAUUCAAAAUUGUCCGGUAUAAUAAAGUCAAUUUCGUUAACAGGAAUUGAAGAGUAAGAGUCAGGAGAAUAUUGAUGAAGGAGUGGAGAAGAUGUCACCGUAUUUGAAGAUUGUUCACUGGAUUCAUUCACUUGAAUGAGUUGAUCCUGGAGUCUCAUUUUUUACACUUCAACUUCCUUUUCAACUGCAUCUUUAAAUCCCUUUCCUUGAAACUCUUGCAGUUCCAUGUCAUUUGGCCGGAUAAUUGCACUCUCAUUUCCUUCAAGAUUGAUAUUGGUUUGUGAGGGCAAUUCUUCAAGAUGAGCCUCUAAUCGCUCUAUCCUGGAUGUCAAUUGACGCAAUUGAUCUGCCAGGUCGCGACAGCUCGCUUGUGUCUUCUGAUGAAAUCGAUUUAGGCUCGCUUGUGUCUCCUGAUGAAAUCGAUUUGAAUUAGCAAUUAGUAAACCUAUCAUUUCUUCAAGAGACAUACCUGACACGGAGGAUGAUUGCUGAGACUCUUGCUGUUGAAAAUCCAUUGGCCCCGUCGCAUAAUUAAAAUUGGAAUUAUCCUACCAUUCUUGAUCAUACCCGUUUGAAUAAGGGUCAUACUGCGUUUGAUAUUGGAGUGGAAAAUCUCCAAAAGUAUCAAGUGGAGAACUUUAAUUAUCUUGAAAUACGGGGCAUGUGUCAGUUGAAUAACUUGAGUCAAAAUAAGUUCCACAAUUUGCAACAGCCCAUUGAUCAUUAGGAAAAACAUGAGUCUCAUAACCCCAUUCAGGAACAAAAUCCAGUCUAUCAUCAAAAUAUGGAAUGUUAGCAGCCAUAAAAAAAUAAUAAUAAUAAUAAAUAAGAGAAAAAUAAAUUAAAAAAUGAAAACAAGAUAAACUCAAAAAGAAACAAUUUAAUCUGGCACCAGUCCCCGGCAACGGCACCAAAAAUUGACAGGUGCCGAACCUGUGCAAUAAUAAAUACCUACUCGAGAAAAAUACAGAUUUUGUAUAUAGCGGUGAGUAGGGUCGAAUCCACAGGGACUGGGGAUAAUUCGUUUCUUCUAGAGUCCAAAGUGUGGGGGGGUUUGGAUUAAAUGCUAACUAAAUAAAUUAACUGCAGAGAAUAAUUAAUUUAAAAAAAAUGAUUGGGGAAACUCUAGCCAAGGGUACACAUCAGAAAUGGUUCAUGCACUGAUCAUUGAUGCAGAAAUAAUUCCAACACUUAGCAAUAGAUUAGUUAUAGUUGUCAUGCACGCGAUAGACAACCAACCCUUCCUUAAUUUUUCGAUAGCUAAGGUACGACCGUUAGCUAUUUCUCUAACCCAAAAAUAACCCUAGGUACGACCGUAGGAUUUAAUUUCUAGAUUGCAUUAAUAAUUAGAAAGGUACAAUCCUAACCAACAAACACGCUACGAGGGUUUUUUAAAUUAGAUCAUAUGCUCCCCUGACAUAAACCCAAUUACGCCAGUUGCUACUGAGGUAGAGAUAACGAACAAUUACGGAUUCAAUUACCCCUAUUUAGCAAAAAUAGCCUAUAUGAAUAAUUAAUUAUUGCGCACUAAUCAAUCAUACACAAGGCCAUAGCAAUUAAAAUCAAGGAACAUAUAAAUACCAAUAAAUGAAGAAAAUAAUUAAAACAGAUUCGAUCUCACAGUAAUUGUCGAACCAAAUCGUCAGUUGUCCCCUUGACUAGAAAAGCUUAACCAUGCCUCAUGAGAAAAUCUCCCCGUUCGGGAAUAUUGUCGAAUACCUGGCGUGUGUCAGAGGCCAGUCCAAAGAAAGAAAACUAGAACUAAACUAAAAAACUAAAACUAAAGCCCUAGAUGUCCUUUGCUUCUGUACGUUGUCCCCUUUUAAAGCAACAAAAGAAAGAUGACUAAAAGCUAUCUAGGUGGUCCCCACACAUGUGGACAAAGCCUCCCAAGCACUUCCUAUUCCAAGUCUCUCUACGUUGCUUUCUUUGAAGCCCAAAUGACCAAAUGCCUUUUCACUAGCUUGUGGUCCCCCACCAAUUCAAGGGCCCAAGGAUUGAAGCCCUUAGAAGUCUCCAUAUUUUUCACAAAGUCCCUCCUUUUUGGUAGUUUCCUGCUUCAUUCCUGAAAUUGAUUCCAAAUACCAAAUAUGAGUAAAUAUCAGCAAUUAACACAAUAUUUGUCAGGGAUAGAAGGGGAAAUCAAUAAUAAAAUUACUAACAGAUUAUACCCUAUCAAUCGUAGGAUGAGAAUGGAAAAAAUUGUGAAUUCCACUACAUACAAAUAAGAAUCUUCAAUGGACAAACAAUUACAAAUAAGAAUUUUCAAUGAACAAAUAAUUAAAAAAUGUAUUUAUAAAUAUUAUUAAGUUGAAAAAUAUUAAAGAUUUUGCUACAAUUGUAUAGUUAACAAAUAAGAUAAAGAGAGAGGUGCUAACCAGAGACAAAAAAAUUCGUGUCACUCAUUGAUAGGUUUUUUUAUUUGAUAGGCACUAUACUUCUCUAAGGACAUUAUAUAUUGUAUGUUAAUAUAUAUAUACUAGUUUUUUGCCCUGACGCUGUGCGUCAGGUAGCUAGUAUUUGUUAAUUUACUAUAAUGGGUAUUAGUCUGGAAAAUUGGAGUGUGAGAGGAGUAAUUAAUUUACUACAAUAGGAUUUGUUAGAUAUAGUGUUUUUGUAUGUGCAUGGGGAAUGGACAUAUCGAUGAAUAGAUUUAAUGAGAAUUUUAAUUAUGACUUAAAGGUUUUAAUACAAACAAAAAGAAUGUUAAAACGAUGGAGUCACCUGAGAAGUGGCAUUUACCAAAGUACAUGCUUAGGCGAAACCACUGUUAACAUAAAUAAUCUAACAUUUAUUCCAAACAAAAGAUUUAAACAACAGUUUAUAUUGCACGAGAUAUGCUCAAAAUAAGCACAGACAUACAGCUCGAAAGUGCUCUGCACUGUUCUCUGCAGAUGCCAAUGCUGAGCCUGAACCUAAUGAAGAUUCAACGGCACCUGUAUUUGGCUGAUUCACAGCAUUUGGGUCAUGUAUAUUAAAAGCUGUGACAGCUAAUGUACACACUCCUAAUGGCGCAUCAUUCUUUGUCCCACGCCGAGCAGCAGCACGUUGCUCGGGGCUCCUUCGAUUUUUCUCAGCACGAGCCUCUUCCAAACUUCCAUAUACUCAAUUUCGACCCAUUCUCAAAGCAUAUUAUACACAGCUGAAGUGGAAACCAAACACACGUCUAAAAUGAACUAUACAAAAGAACCACAGCAACAAAAAUGAAUUUCCAGCGAAGCCAAUCAAACAGUGAAGUACUUCAAAACCAAAAGAAACUUUCUCAAGUUAUUUCCGAAGCUACCAAAAAAAAAACCAAAAAGAAGAGUGAAAGUUAAAAAAAAAAAGAUCCUGCUGACCGCAUAAGUUGUUCAAGUUAUUUCCGAAGCUGCAAAAGAAAACUAAGAAGAAAAAUCAAAGCCAAAAAGAGAUUGAGCUCACAGCCUAAGUUUGCUGAACAGUAAAGCACUUCAAAACCAAAAGAAACUUUCUCAAGUUAUAUUUCCGAAGCUACCAAAAAAAAUCAAAAAGAAGAGUGAAAGCUAAAAAAAAAGAUCCUGCUGACCGGAUAAGCUGUUCAAGUUAUUUCCGAAGCUGCGAAAGAAAACUACGAAGAAAAAUCAAAGCCAAAAAGAGAUUGAGCUCACAGCCUAAGUUUGCUGACAGGUGCCGAACCUGUGCAAUAAUAAAUAUCUACUCGAGAAAAAUACAGAUUUUGUAUAUAGCGGUGAGUAGGGUCGAAUCCACAGGGACUGGGGAUAAUUCGUUUCUUCUAGAGUCCAAAGUAUGGGGGGUUUUGGAUUAAGUGCUAACUAAAUAAUUGAUUAAGAGGAAUAAUUAAGGGAAAACUCUAGCCAAGGGUACACUUCAGAAAUGGUUCAGGCACUAAUCAUUGAUUCACAGAUAAUUCCACAUUUAUUAAUAGAUUAGUUAUAGUUGUCAUGCACGCGAUAAACAACCAACCUUUUCUUAAUUUCUCAAUAGUUAAGGUACGAUUGUUAACUAUUUCUCUAAUCCAAAAACAACCCUAGGUACGACCGUAGGAUUUAAUUUCUAGAUUGCAUUAAUAAUUAGAAAGGCCCAAUUCUAACUAACAAACACGCUACGAGGGUUUGUUUAAGUUAGAUCGUAUAUUCCCCUGACAUAAACCCAAUUACGCCAGUUGCUAUUGAGAUAGAGAUAACGAACAAUUACGGAUUCAACUACCCCUAUUUAGCAAAAUAACCUAUAUGAAUAAUUAAUUAUUGCGCACUAAUCAAUCAUACAUAAGGGUUACAACAAUUAAAAGCAGGAAACAUAUAAAUACACAUAAAUGAGAAAAACAAUUAAAAGUGGUUUAGAUCUCACAGUAAUUGCCAAGCCAAUUCAUUAGUUGUCCCCUCGACUAGAAGAAUUUAGCCACGCCUCAUGGAAAAAUCUCCACGUAAUUUAAUUGAGGUCCAGGCCAUCAAAAGAACCAAGAAAGAAUAAAAACUAAACUAUGCCAAAAGCUAAGUUAAAACUAUUGAUAAGAGCUUCUCUGUACGUUUGUUGCUCUUUUAAAGCCAAAUGACUAAUGCCUUCCCUAUUCUCCGUGGUUCCCGCCGCAUAAGUCAACAAAGGGUACCAAAGGGCAAGGCCCUACUCAAUGUUUCCUCUCUUCCCGUUUGCUAUUGGUAGUGGAGCCCUUAGUACCAAUUAAUUCUUCAUCAGCCAUUCCGUUUUUUCCUCUCCUUGUGGGCCAGGUCCAUGGAGCCUUUUUGAAGUCUCCCACUUAUGGAGCAAAUACCUCCUUUUUUGUAGUUUCUUGCUUCAAUUCCUGAAAUUAAGUCCAAAUACCAAAUAUAAGUAAAUAUUACUAAUUAAAACAAUAUUUGACAAGGAUAAAGGGGAAAUUAAGAAUAAAAUUACUAACAAUUAACACCCUAUCAUUUGAUAAACAGUAAAGCACUUCAAAACCAAAAGAAACUUUCUCAAGUUAUAUUUCCGAAGCUACCAAAAAAAACCAAAAAGAAGAGUGAAAGCUAAAAAAAAAGAUCCUGCUGACCGGAUAAGCUGUUCAAGUUAUUUCCGAAGCUGCGAAAGAAAACUACGAAGAAAAAUCAAAGCCAAAAAAAGAUUGAGCUCACAGCCUAAGUUUGUUGAACAGCUGAGAACACAAGCAAGAAAAGGAUGAGAGCAAAUUGGUACCGAGAAUGAGAAAAAGAGAAUAAGAGCCAUGCGGACCCACAGACCGCUUCGGACAGCAACGACCAACCACGCGUGUAAAUUAGAAGAGAGCCACCUGGACAUAAGUGAAAAUGUACAACGAAACCACUGCCACCCAUCAUCAAAGGACCAAAAGGCCCCUCAAAACCAUACAAAUAACAGCAUAACCAGCUCAUCCUGCACUGUUUAUAAGACGCUAGACGCUUUAUAUAUGUAAGAUAUAUUUUCUUAUCCUCUAGGUAAAAAAAAAGAUAAACUUCUAUAUUUAUAUUUAAGUCUAAAUUUGAUAAGUCAUUAAUAUUUGAGACCGGGGAUACUAUUAUCAUACUACCAUUGUAGGAGCAUCACUAAGUUAUUGGUUGUUGUGGGUGGUGGGGGGGGUUUACCCCCGCAAAAAAAUUUUAGGGGUGGGUGCAAAAACUAGAACCAAAAUAGUCCUUAAUUCUAAAUACCUAUAACAUGCAAAAAAAGAAAAAUUUUUUUGAGGUUCAUAGCACAUCAGCACUCUAUAAUUUCUCAAGUCAUGAUGACUAAUGACUAAUCCAAGAAGUUCCUUAAAUUUGCAAUUAUAGAACCUUAAACUCUAUUUUAAGAUGAUAUUUGAGAAGCAACUACAUCAGAUGACAAAUCCAAAAAAUUCCUUAAAAAUUUGCAAUUGCAGAAGCUUAAACUCUAUUUUAAAAGCUAAAACAUAUGACAUAGUAGGAUUAGUUUGCAAAUUCAAGAAUUUCUGUACAACUCAAAUAUAGAUCAAUAACAGUAGUUAUACGAACAAAGUUCAUAGCUUCCCUAACUUAUGUAACAAAUCCAAACAAAAUAAAGAAUAAUACAAAAAUAAUCCAGAUAUGGGAGGAGAGCCUCCCAGAUUCUGAGAAACAGAACGGCUCUUAACUUCUCAGUUAGCUUUUCUGUUGAAUUCCUUCACGUUUGCAAAGAGGGCAGACAUUCUUCUUCAUUAACCACCUUUUGAUGCAGUCGGCAUGGUACUCAUGCCCGCAUUCUAGAGUUUCAAUUGUCUCCCCAUUCUCGUACUCGCACUGGCAAACUACGCAAAUUUCAGGUUUUUGAUCAGCAAGUGUUUGAUAAUUUCUGAUUUUCAGGUGCUCUGAGAUGGUUGCUUCUGGCAAACCACUAUUUUUACUAAUCCUGUCUUCUGGGAUCGAUUGUAGUGGGAACUCAACAAUUGGAUCAUCAGCAGGAAUCAAAGUUCUGAUGCUGGCAAGAUAUCCUUCCUCAUUGACGAACUCCAAAUCCAAUGCACGUAGUGGAGUAUCAUCUUCUGGUGCAAAGCUCGAGCUCAAUCGCAGGUGCAUUUCAGAUUCUUGAAGCUCGUUGUCUAGUGGAUAUAAUUCUCCCCUGCACCCAAAUCAAGCAUGGAAGCCUCACUGUCUGGUGUAAAGGUUAACCGGGAGAGCAUAUCUCGGCCCUGAUCAGAUUCUUGAAGCUGGUUCCCAAGUGGGUAGUAAUCUUCCGCGUCCAAAUAAAGUAUGACAGUCUCAUCUUCUGGUGCAAAGCUGAAACGGGAGAGGAUCUCCGGUCUCUGAUCAGAUUCUUUAAGAUGGUUCCUUGGCCAUUGGAGGUUCCAGAUCUGGUUAGGACAUGGAUUUGAUUUGAAUUUUAGCGGAAAAGUUAAAAUCAAUUCGUUUAGGAUUAGGAACACAGGUGUUGGAAACUUUCAUUUUUUCUCUUUGCCGUCAAAGAAGAAAGCGCGCUUAUGAAUUGAGCUCACAGCCAACGCCUUUAACUCGUCCAACGGCACAAUGUUAAGAAGGCCCAUAUUAGAUUGGGCUUCGGGCUGAGAUUUUGCACUCAAACUCAAAAAUCCCAAAGAAAAACAAAUAUUUGGCAAUUCAGCAUAUUUGGUUAAGAGACGGAAAUGAUCAUUCGUAACGGAAUCUUAAAAAAUAUCAAAAUUACCCUUAUUUAAAAAUUAAAAUGGCUAAGUGACCAAAAUAUAAAAAUACAGCUCUUUUCAUUUCACUAAUUACCACUAUUCCAGAUAUGUCAUGGUACGGUAUUAGUUGGACUACAAAAUCAAACCAAAUUCUAGAGCAAGAUUUGAUAAUUAAUAGUCAACAAAUUGGAGUUCAUUUAUCAACAACAGAUUUUUUUUCUUCCAUUUGAACUCGUUUCAAUAAUUCUUUUAGUUGUUUUAACAGGUGCAAUUGCUGUAGCUCGUCAAUACACUAACCUUGUAUGGUUUUAUAUUUUAUCAUAUAACCCUCUUAUCGUUUAAUGCUUUAUCAUAGAACCCCUCUUAUGGUUUUCAAAAUAUACACAUAACCCUCCUGUGGCUAACAAAUAAUUUUUAACUUUAUAUAGGAGUAUUUUUGAUAUUUUAGGUGACUCCAUUAUAGAUUGCAAAAUUCCAUUACUUUGACACUUUAAUUCAAACCAUGAGAGAUUAUGUAUAACUUUUAGAACCAUAGGGAGUUAUGUACAAAAAUACUAAACCACAGAAGAGUAAAGUGUAAUUUACCCUUGACAAUAAUACAACAGUCUAAACAGUUAAAAUUCCUUUUCAUGAAUCUCAAGAGAAUGAUUUUUUGAUUAAUUAUCACAAAAAUUAAUACUUACGAGCUCAUACAAGAUUAAACUAAAGGUGUAGGAAAGAUUUAUACAAAAGAAAAUUGUUUGACAAAGCCUGAUGUGAAUUUUUUAUUUCACAGGAGUUGAUACUAAACAGUCAAUCCGCAAGGACCACAAGCUUCUCAUUUCAUGUCCCCAAAAUUCACUUCCACUGUGAUCAAACAUAUAAUUCACUGUUGUUUGGAUAGAAUAUUAUUUCAAAUAUUAUUUGAAAUAAUUACUGUAACACUUUUUGUAACGUGAUGUACCUAAGGUAAUAAAGUAGUUGGAAAUAUAAAAAGGUGGGUUGGAAUAUGUGUUUAUGAUGCAAGCGAAAUAUUAUGUCAAAUAAUUCAGCAACCCAAACACAAAUAUAUUAUUCUUGGAUCUUGAAAAAAUUGAGGAAUGUUUAAUCAGACUCCUUACAUUUGUUUGAAUGUCAUUCCUUAAUUUCAUGUUAAUAUUUCAAACUUGUAUGUAGCUUGUAAAUCAAAUCACCUUUAGCUGAACAAUCUUCUAUGUAUAUUAUUUUUCUUAUCUGUGCAUAUUAUUAAUAUUGCACAAAAAUUCUAAGACAAAUUCAAAUACACCAAAUUACAGAUCAAACUUCUGAGAGGUAAAAUACACUGACUGCCAAGCAUGCAUUCUAAAUUAGUGAAAAAUGCAACGAGUUUUUAUUUUUGAAGAGUAAGAUCGAGGUGGUAUAAUUUUCGAAGAAAUUUAUUUCUGAGAGGUAAAAUGCACUAAGGUUCUUUCUUUAAGCCAUUAAGGUCAAAGAAAUUUAGCAAAUGACAAUUUUUAAAACACCUAAUCGAGGGAGUAGAUUUUAUCUAAUUUUUUUUGAAAAAAAAAACAAUUCUAGCAAAGAACGGGUGGAAUUUAAGAAGUGGGGAAGGGGUAGGGUUCAGAACCCAAAAUCUAAUUAUUAUAAUUUGAAACACCAAUUUCAUUUAAUACUUAAUUCAUUUCUCUAAACCAAAAAUAAAUGAAGAGAAUUAGUAUCAUUUAUCUAUAAAAUGGAGCCAAGUUUCCAGCCACGGCAAAUCUUUCGGCUGUGUUGGAAAUCUGUUAAUAGUUUGUCUGGGGGAUGAAUAUGGAAGCCGCAAAGCUUACAAAGACUACGUGCGCGUGCUUUUGCUCCUUACAUGUUGCUCUCUAUAUUAUUAGUAAACUAAUUCUUUUAAGAUUAAUAAACUUGACUCGAACUCGGGUUGACCGAGUUCAAGCGCCUCAAUAAGUUAAACGAGUAGAGUUCGAGCAUCCAGAAGCAUUGCUCGAAGGCUCGUCGAGCCUUAUCGAGCUUUUUAAUUUUAAUUAUUUAAUAUAUUAUUAUUAUAAAAUUACUCUUAUAUCCAAAAUAGUUGUUGAAUUUACAAAAUGUUUCAAGUCAUAAAAAAAUUUUAAAAGGUAAUAAUGUCUUUUCGCUCAAAAAUUGUCAAGAAAAUGAAAAUUUCUAACUCGAGUCGAUAAGGCUCGUAUUGACUCGAGUUCAUGUAAGUCGAGCUCGAGUUCUGUGAGCAAGCAUCGAGCUCGAGCUCGAGCUCCAAUAAUACUACUCUCUCGAGCUCGAGUACCCUUCUUGCAUGCGCCAAACUCGAGUUCGACUCGACUCGAUUACAUCCUAGAUCAAACCAAUUAAUUAUGGUCAAAUGUGAUCAAACCAGUUAAAUGGGUCAAGACUUAUUUGAUUAUAAGUCCAUAUCCAUAAUUCGAUCAAAAUUUAUCAUUUAAGCCCAAAAUUUUUUUGAAAUUCAUAAAUAUUUUAUAAGAUUAUAUAUUUAGUGGGCCAACAUUUUGAACUUUAUAAAAUAUAAAUAUCUUAUUUGACUUUAUUAGGGUUCACUCAAAGUAGAGAAACUCUAAUUUUCUUAAUACAAAUAUAUGCAUAUUUAUUCUUAAACAAGAAAACAAGUCAAAGAAUAGUAACCUAAGUCCAAAUACAAGAGAAUUAAAUAAACAUAAAAAGAUUGCCUUCUAAUUCAGUUCUUGCAUGAUAUUCAACAUGAAGACGCAACCAAACUAUUGGAAAACAUUGAGCCAAAACAAGAAAAUUUUCCAUCCAAGUUGUUUGCACGUGAAACAACUACUGGACUGCAUCGUACUUUGUAUCCAUAAUUUUUCUAUUAAAUAAUCUCAUGGACAGAACAUUGAAACCCAUGAUGUUUUCCUGUCAAUUUUAAUCCUUAAGAAUAGGAAAACCAAAAAAAACCCCGUGCUUGCCAACUAAAGUUUGACCAAAAUAAGACCCACUGAAUUCUAUUAGAAAUGUAGUAUAAACCGAGAAGAUGGUUUGAGAGUGUGGUCAUCCUCCAUGUGAGUUUCACAUGUGAAUUGUGUUGCUGUUUUGUUUCCCUUUUUUUCCACCCAACCUCCACAUUUUUUCCCCUGCCUUGGGGCUAAUGAGGGAUGAUUACUCUUUACACUUUUAUCAAAAACGAGCAUGUAAACGGCGGAGUGCUUAUCAUGAAAAGCAUAUACUUGGAAGGGCAAUUGCUGAUCUCUGGUCUGACUUCCACCUACAGAGAGGCAACUGCAUUGUUAUUAAAAACGUAUAUAAUGUGCGUGGUUUAGCUACAUGCCAUAUUUGGCCGGCAAUUCUUUGGUAUUUCUUUUUUCGAUAGGAUAAUUAGAAUUAAAUUCUACUGGCAUGCUUUGUAUUAGCAGCAAAGGUCUACUUUGCCUGCACCCUAAUAAUUCUUUUGAUUUCUAAGACUUCUAUUGCCAACUUUUGGUGCAUUCUCUUUCCGACUUUUCAUAGAUUCUCUUUCCAGCUUUCCAUAAACGAGGAUGAAAAGCUACAUUUUGGUCCUUAUACAGCCUUUGGCCUUAUUUUGUAUCUCUGCGGCAACUUCUUUGCCUCUUGCCCAGCGUUUGUUUGUUUUCUUCCACUCUUUGUUGCUCUUACCUUCACCUUAUCCAUGCUACUGGCUACUUUUAUUGGGGUUUCCUUCAUCAUCAGCAUGGUUUUGCUGCUAUUACUCCACGAAGGUACUUGUUCUGUUCUUUUUUUACCCCUCUUCUUCACGACUUAUAUCUUGCUAUCAUGUGUAUUGCAGUCUAUUACCUGCUUUGUUAGUUAUUUUUCUAUUUUGUAUUGGUUACUGCUGUUCAGAUGCUCUUCUCAGGAUGUAGCAACAUUCAUCGUCAUUUAAGAGAACGUUAUAGUGUUAGAAAAACAUUAAAGCAUGAUCUUUAACCAUGACCUAUAAAUCAUGAGACAAGGAACAUUUAAACGUACCUUGUUCCAUUGAGUAUGUCUCUUCUUGAACUUGUGUUAAGAACUUGACCCUCAAUUGCUAUAGCUCUUGAUCUUCCCUCUCCUACUCUCUCUUAUGUUUGCUACAAUGAUGGGAUAAUCGUUUUUCAAACUAGUCCAGUAGAGAGAGGGACCAAGAGCCUAUUUAUAGAUGUAUAAGUGACCCUUCCCAUCAUUGAUCAUUAAUAAGCCUCGUUCAUUCUUCCUUCUGGAUAAGAUAAAUCUUAUCAUGAAUUACUUGUUUCAAGAAUGUAUAUACAUAGUCUUAAUACUAUGUACAUUUAUUUAUGUGAGGUUCCAUGAAUGGUAGGAUAAGUUCAUUUAUCACCUCAGCUAGAUUCAUGACUUUGGUCAUUGAAUUUUGUACUUCAUUAAUUAGGUACAUGACUUUGGUCAUAAUACCUUGAACCAAUCCAUUCACCUAUGUGGGAUAGCAUUACAUUUAUGUGGUCAUGUAAGCCACAUUAUAGCAUUAUUCCAACUUAUAGAACGUGGAUUAUCAAGCUUCAUAAGCAAUCAUUCACUCAAGGAUGGCAAGAGUUUUGUUGCAGCAACAUCAUCAAGGAAAAUUACUUUUUCUUGCUUCGACAUUCUGGUAGACUGAUCUUCGACGUCAUCCUCUUCUACGAAGACAAGAAACAAGUAUACAUGCCAUGGACAGAUCCUCUGUCUAAUAUGCUGCAUUCACAGCCAUUCCUUGAGUCAGGACGUUGAUAGUUAUCUGCUUUUGUUUUCUAUCAGCCCAUUUGUAUUUUUAAAUUUUUUUGCCUCAUGCAUGUCGUUCAAUUUCCAGUUGAUAGAAGCAAAAAAUGAUACGACAGCGAGUAUCAUCAUCAAUGAGGCCUGGUUUCAUGCAAACCUUAAUCCAAGAAGUGUGUUUCUAUCAAUUCAUUGACGGACAAAAUCAGCAUAACCUUGUAAGUUUUAUAUACACAUUUAUUCAUUUCUUGCUAUCUAUAUAUUGCAUCACUCUUAACUUUUGCCAGAUACAAUGCCAAAAAGUUCUGAGGUUUGCUGCUCAAUUUGUUCAUAGUAGCAAGACGCCUUCAUUACUCUGAGGACUGGAAACAAAACAAUAACUGUUGCAAUGCGUGGAAGACAAUUUACGGACAAUUGGAAUAUCUUUGUGGCAGAACACCAAUUACAGUUUGGAGAAAUUUUGGUCUUUGUUCCUGAAUCUGUUACUACCUACACUGUUGACAGGUUGUCAGCCUGUGCAAUAAUAAAAACUUGCUCGACUAAAGUUAAUUUCUGUAAAUAGUGGUAAGCAGGGUCGAAUCCACAGGGACUGGGUGUAACUGUUUGUUUUCAAAUUCACAGUAACAAAGGGGAUAUUUUUGUGCAAAAAGUGACAAUCAAAGAAAUUCAAAUAAAAUUUAAGAAACUAUUAAAAAUUAAAUAACUAGGUACUAAAAUCAAAUAAAUGAUAACUAAGGAUCUAGCCAAGAAAUUACUUCAGUAAUGGUUCACCUAAUUGAUCAUCGAUGCAAAACCAAUUCCAAUUAUUUACUAAUAAAUAGGUUAUAACUGCCAAACAGGCGAUGACAGUCAACCCCUCCUUACUAUGUCGGUGACUAAGAUACGCCCGUUAAUUACUGCUCUAAUUAGGAAAUAAUUCUAGGUACGCCCGUAAUAUUUAAUUUUCCAAUUGCCUUACGUAUUAGAGGAGCCCUAUUCUAACCAAAUAAUGCACUACCAGGGUUAUUUCAAAUUAACCCGCAUAUUCCCCUGACACGAAUCUAAUCAUGCCAGUUGUCACUAAUUCAGAGCAAUUAAACAAUUACGGAUUUAAUGCCCCAAUUGACAAUAGAUUCCCAAAUUAACUAAUUAUUCGAAUCCAAAACAAUCAAUUAAAUGAAUAACCACAAGCACUGUAAUCAGGGAAUAUGCGAAUACCAAUAAAUAAAAGAAAAAGACAAAAUUAAAUCGAUCUCACAAAUUUUAGAUGAACCGAAGCCUUCGUUGUUUUUUGACUAGAAAAAGAGAUUAGUUCAUCUCCGUUGAGGAAAACCCGUGCAAAAUUGCAGAAUUAAUUGUUGCAUACAUCGUUCCUCCAUGCGAUGAAGAGAACCGAUUCAAUUAAGAAUAAAACAAAAGAACUACUAAGGCCAAAGAAUGACCAAUUGUUUUUUUCGCCUCCUUCGUGCGGCCUCUGAUGGGCUAAUAAAAUAAUACUACUGAGACUACAAACAAGUCUCCUAAUUGGAAUUGUCCAUCCCUCAUACUACGGAAAGAAAAGAAAUAGGAAUUAGCUGAGAAACUAGCUUUCUCCCUACUUUUUUGCUUGUGGCGGCUGGCUCUCCCAAGGCUCCCAGGAGUCCUCCUCGCAAUUGACCUCUAUUUCCUCUUUAACCGCGACCAACAAAUUAGGAGAUUUCCUAGUUGACACAUUUCUUAUUUGUGCUGAACUACCUUUGUCAGUUUAAAUCAUAUUCGGUAAAUUUUCACCUUUUUAUUACAUUUUGCUCCAAAUUCCUGUAAUAAGCACAAAUACCAAAAGUGAAUAGAAUCUGACAAUUAAUCCACAUCUGGUAAGGUAAUAGGGAAAAUUAAUUACAAAAUAAAUAGCAAAAUUGUAACCUAUCAAUUCCCCCCACACCUAAACCAUGCUUGUCCUCAAGCAUAAGAACAGUAAACAAAUACUAAUAUUUGACAAUGGCUAUUGUUCCACUUACCAUAUUGCCAAGAUACCAAGAAAAAUAUGUCAAACAUCAGUGAUCAAAACCCAAGAAACAUCACUACGGUUAGCUUCUAAACCACAAACUCCUCUAAUUUCAGGUUAAUUAAUCCAAGAAGAAGAAAUGACACACAACAUUUAUCAACAAAUGGUCCAACUAUUAACCAAAAUUUUAACAUUAAAUCUAUAAAUCGGCAAGUUGAUUUUUAUUAUACACUAACACAACAUUCACUUUUGUUUCAUGUUUUUUUAUUUUUUUGUUUUUUUAAUAGUAACACAAGACUUAGUCUCUGGCCAUUGGAGUUUUUUUACGCGAACUCCAAUAUUUGUCAGAUGAAAAAAACCUGGUUACUCAGCUCCUAUCGCCACGUGAUCAUGUACUCAUAGCAAUCACUACUUUAUGACGCGAGAAUCAAUACUUUUGGUGAAGAUCCCCAGUUACUCGGUAGUAAAGACUAGCAGAGUACAGUCAACUUUUAUUCACAACUAAAUAACACAAAAAUCAAAAGAAAUUUUGCAUCAGCUAGCCUCAUUUUCAAACAUUGAGAACUAAGGUUAAUAAUCGGACCAAUUCACAUGAAAAUGCCAACAAUCAUUUCCUAUGCUUAGGAAAGUUAACCAAAAAUUAUAAGAGUAAAACAAUCACCGAUAUUCACCAAAGAGAUGUUUUUUGACUCAACCACAUUAACUUGAUACACUUUUAUUAUUAAAAUUUGACAAUAGCAGAAAUAGAGGCAACAAUCCAACAUCAAACUUGACAGUCAUAGGAGAGCUAGACAGAUAAAUGACAAAAAGUAAACGAAAACUAGACAAAUAACAAACUAAAAAUAAAAGAAAAAUAUCUGAAAACUAAGAACUAGAAAAAUUAACAUCAUAACUGCUCCUCCCCACACCUAAAUCCUACAUUGUUCUCAAUGGAGAUAAUAAAGUAAUUAAAGUGAAGAGAACAAUGAAACUUCCCUCUCGAGUUGCGAAGGGGUAGGCGGGAACGGUAGAGAAAAACUGAUGUGGCGGAAGUAUGCACCCAAAUGUUGAGAUAUUUUAACUCAAUUCAACCAAUAAAUACAAAAUUCUGUCCACCCAAAAUCUCAACAAAGUCUCCAAUUGGACAGUGAAUAUCUCAACUCAAAAUCGACAGUUCCAGCAAUAGCAAUUUAGAAAUUUGACAAUAACCACACAAUCACAAGUUUUUUUCUUUUCAAUCAGGAGGCCAACCUAAUAGAAAUAACAAAUGCUAGGCAAAAUACCCUAACUAGUACCACUGGUGCACGCACAAGUAGGAAACAAUUCAAACAAUCAAUCCAAAUCACUUGAUAAAUCCAAACACACCGAUCAAUACCGAAAAUUAGAAGAAAUCAAAAUGAGAAUCAAUUGGCAAUCAACUCUCAAAUCACCCCUAAUGCUCCCAAACAAAUGAACUGCCAAAUGCAACGGCAACGACCAACCCAAAAAUGCUAUAGAAACCCCAAACAAAGCACAAGUGAAAAACAUGCUAGUCACCUUCUACUAUUAUGCACCAAGGAACCCAAGAAAACAGCAACAAAAUCCAACAAUUUGAGACCCAGAAAAAGAUUAACGAGGGAGAAAUUUGAAUAUCUCCACCUGUCAAAGAUAGGCAGGUGGUGACAGGAGCGGGGCUGCUAGUGGAGGUAUGCGAGAGGUGGAGUGUGAGCUGCGUGGCUGGAGGGUAGAGAUACUGUGGGUGGCAGUGCUUGCUGGCAGACGGCAAGUUGAAAUAGUCGGCAGGAGAGAGCGAGUGAGCAGAGAUGCGACCGUGACCUGUGGUCGAUUGCGAAGAAAAAUGAGACAGCCGCGAGAGUGGCGGCAGCGUCAAGCCAAAGGCGGCGGCGCCCUGUCUUGGAGGCUCGAGGACAUGGGAGAACACGCGCGCGCUGGCGGAGGAGAGGGUGUUGCGACGAGCUAGGCUGCUACAGCUGGUGGGCGAGCUGGUUUGCGUAAGGGCAACGGAGAACUGGUGAAGCCGCCGGCGCUGUGAGGAAGAUGGCCGCGUAGCGCGCAACGGCGGCGCGCUUGACAGGGACGGAUGGCGGCAGCAGUCGUGGAAGGAGAGAGAGACAAAGGGAAAGCACGCGGACAAGGGAGGCGCGCGGCGGGCGACAGCGAAGAAGGUACGGUGAGUGGCGGCGCACGUUUCUUGUCCACGGUGGUCUGGGUGACUGGCGGCGUGCGUUGCGUGAGGGAGAAAGAUGGAUGGCAGCGACGUGUGGAGUUUCAGUCAAACAGGAGAAAGAAACAAGAAAGAAGAAAGAAAGAAAAGAGAGAGAAAGAAAAAAAAAAAGAAAGAAAGAAAGAAAAAAAAUAAAAUAGUUUUUGAUUUUUUUUCUUUCAUUUUUUUUCAUUUUUGAAGAUACGGCCAAAUUGAAAUUUUUCUCUUUUUUUCUUUUUUUCUUUUCCUUUUUUUUUAACAAAAUAUUUUUUAAAAAUUCAAAAUUUGAGAUCAAAAUACCUCGAAAUUUCUCGAGAUUUGAAUACUUACCUUUCCCGUGAACAUGACGCAGACACAUCAAAAAGGCAAGAACCCUUCUGAUCAUGAGCUCUUCGUACGCGCACGUCAAAAAGGCAAGAACCCUUCUAAUCAUGCGCUCUCCAUACGACAUGGCGCAGGCACGUCAUGUCAGAGAGAUACCUAUGAGUCAUCAAAAAUGAAAAUUGAAUCAAGAAAUUAGUCAAACUCAAAGAAAACAUAUUUAAACUGUCGAAUAAAAUCGAACAAACAACUAAAAGAAAUUGGGUUGCCUCCCAAUGAGCGCCUUUCUUUGAUGUUUUUGGCUAGACAUUGUCAUGUUUGUUCAGGGAGGAUAAAAUCUUGUGGCUCGUUUUAAUGUUUCAUCCUCUAUAUAGUCCUGAUAGCCCUUGUAAAUAGAGUAAUCCUUGAGCACACGAGCUACGAUCUUCCAUGAGUUAGUAGAUGGCGCCAAACCAGUCAACAAUAAUCUGGAUUCUUCACUCACUCCUCCAUCACACACGUUUAUUGGUUCAAGAUAUUUUGUCAUUGCCACUUUUAACUUAUUUCUGUCAUGAAAUUCAAAUUUUUUUGGUAUAAUAAAAUCAAUCUCAUUAACAGGAAUUGAAGAAUAAGAAUCAGGAGAAUAUUGAUUAAGGAAUGGAGAAGAUGUCACCGCAUUUGGAGAUUGUUCAUUGGAUUCAUUCACUUGGACGAGUUAAUGUUGGGGUCUUAUUUCUUGCACUUCAACUUUCUUUUCAAUUACAUCUUUUAGAUCCAUUUUUUUGAGACUCUUGUAGCUUCAUAUCACUUGUCAGGAUAAUUGCACUCUCAUCUUCUUCAAGGUCGAUGUUGGUCUGUGAGGGCAAUUUUUCACUCAUGUGAGAAGCUAAUUGAGUUAUCUUGGAUGUCAAUAGAUGCACUUGAUCCGCUAUCUCGGAUAUCACUAGUUGCACUUGAUCCGCCAUCACUUGUAUCUCCUGAUGAAAUCGAUAUGUAUUAGCAGCUAGUAGUUCAAUUAUUUUUUCAAGAGACAUACCUGAUAUGGCUGAUGGCUGUGGAAACUCUUGUUGUUGAAAAUCCAUUGGCCUGGUCGCAUAAUUAAAAUUGAAAUUAUUCCACCAUCCUUGAUCAUACCUGUUUAAGUAAGGGUCAUACCACGUUUGAAAUCGAGGUGAAAAAUCUCCAAAAGUAUCAAUUGGAACACUUAGGUUAUCUUGAAAUGCGGGGCAUGUGUAAGUUGAUUAACCUGAGGCAAAAUAAGUUUCACAAUUUGCAACAGUCGAUUGAUCAUUAGAAAGAACACUAGUCUCAUAACCCCAUUUAGGAAUAAAGUCCAAUCUAUCAUCAAAAUACGGAAUAUUAGCAGCCAUAAACUAUAUAAAAAAAAUAAGAGAAAAAUACAUAAAAAUGAAAACAAUAUGAACUAAAAAAGAAACAAAUUAAUGUGGCACCAGUCCCCGACAACGGCGCCAAAAAUUGACAGGUUGUCAGCCUGUGCAAUAAUAAAAACCUGCUCAACUAAAGUUAAUUUCUGUAAAUAGUGGUAAGCAGGGUCGAAUCCACAGGGAUUGGGUGUAACUAUUUCUUUUCAAAUUCACAGUAACAAAAGGGGUGUUUUGUGCAAAAAGUGACAAUCAAAGAAAUUCAAAUAAAAUCUAAGAAACUAUUAAAAAUUAAAUAAUUAGGUACUAAAAUCAAAUGAAUGAUAACUAAGGAUUUAGCCAAGAAAUAAUUUCAACAAUGGUUCACCUAAUUGAUUAUCGAUGCAAAACCAAUUCCAAUUAUUUACUAAUAAAUAGGUUAUAAUUGCCAAACAAACAAUGACAGUCAACCCCUCCUUACUGUGUCGGUGACUAAAGUACGCACAUUAAUCACUGCUCUAAUUAGGAAAUAAUUCUAGGUACGCCCGUAAGAUUUAAUUUUUCAAUUGCCUUAUGUAUUAGAGAAACCCUAUUCUAACCAAAUAAUGCACUUCCAGGGUUAUUUCAGAUUAACCCGCGUAUUCCCCUGACACGAAUCUAAUCAUGCCAGUUGUCACUAAUUCAGAGCAAUUAAACAAUUACGGAUUUAAUGCCCCAAUUGAUAAUAGAUUUCUAAAUUAACUAAUUAUCCGGAUCCAAGACAAUCAAUUAAUUGAACAACCACAAGCACUGUAACCAGGGAAUAUGCGAAUACCAAUAAAUAAAAGAUAAAGAUAAAAUUAAAUCGAUCUCAUAAUUUUUAGAUGUACCGAAACCUUCAUUGUUUCUUGACUAGAAAAAGAGAUUAAUUCAUCUCCGUUGAGGAAAACCCGUGCAAAAUUGCAGAAUUAAUUGUUGCAUACAUCAUUCCUCCAUGCGAUGAAGAGAGCCAAUUCAAUUAAGAAUAGAACAAAAGAACUGCUAAGGCCAAAGAAUGACCAAUUGUCUUUUUCGCCUCCUUUGUGCGGCCUCUGAUGGCCUAAUAAAAUAAUACUACUAAGACUAAAAACAAGUCUCCUAAUUGGGAUUGUCCAUCCCUCAUACUACGGAAAGAAAAGAAAUAGGAAUUAGCCGAGAAACUAGCUUUCUCCCUACUUUUUUGCUUGUGGCGGCUGGCUCUCCCAAGGCUCUCUGGAGUCCUCCUCGCAAUUGACCUCUAUUUCCUCUUUAACCGCGGCCAACAAACUAGGAGAUUUCCUAGUUGACACAUUUCUUAUUUGUGCUGAACUACCUUUGUCAAUUCAAAUCAUAUUCGGUAAAUUUUCACCUUUUUAUCACAUUUUGCUCCAAAUUCCUGUAAUAAGCACAAAUACCAAAAGUGAAUAGAAUCUGACAAUUAAUCCACAUCUGGUAAGGUAAUAGGGAAAAUUAAUUACAAAAUAAAUUGCAAAAUUGUAACCUAUCAACUGUUCUAAUCUUUGAUAGACAUUGUGAAGAAAAACAUUUCCCAUGGUAUGACAGUUUUUAUGUGUAUUCUAUCAUAGGAGGUGCAGUAAUUUAGUUGUAAUCCAAUGAACAUCUUCCCUAAACUUAGCUUGUCUAAUGAACAUUUAGUUUGAGGACUCCGUUUAUUCCUCUAUUAUCCUAUUCUGCGUGUAUAUCUGUGGUUUACAAUAUACAUUCCUAAAAAAUGAUAUGCUUCAUAGACGGAGCUUCAUUUAUAGUUGACACAUGCUUACAAAUAAAAUAUGCACCAUAUAAGUAGCUUUGUGAAGCUUCAUCUACAGCUUGUAGAUAGUUCCAUGGAAUAUACACUAUAUCACUGACUCGUUCUUAUAUCUCCAACGUUUUCUCCCCAAGUAGCAGAAAAGGAAUUGAGUAUGGGCUUUUGAUCUAGACAUAAUAAAGAACAUCCUCACUGCAUUUCCCUUUAAAAGAUGGAUACUUUGCACUUAACCUUACAAAAAUAUUCCUUAUUCAUGAAUACGGCUUAUGCAGCACACUUUCCAUCCUUUUCUAUGCCAUAAAGUAGAGCUGGCAAUUAUACCCAAAACCCAACAACCCACCCAACUCACCCACUAAUUUGAGAGGUUGGGUUGGGUAAGUUGGGUAUUGGGUAAAUUUUGAGUUGGGUAAUAAAAAUCCAUAUAUAUUUUGGGCGGUUUGGGUAUUUGUGUUGGGUACCCAUUUCCCAACUUUUCCCUCUUUGUAUGUUUUCUAUGCAAAUAUAACCCAUCCUGUUGACACAUGGAAAAAGACAUUCUUGUGUACAAAACUGUUACCACCACCCCCAAAAAAACCCCCCCCCCGGGGCAAAAAAAAAAGUGUUAAUUUUUGGAGUAAGUUCCCUGUAUUUUGGUUGGACUUGUUGAUGGUUUAGUAAAGGGGUUAGCAAUUAUCAUUUGAACGUAAUUUGACCUCUGCUAUAGUAGAGCAAGAAUCAUCAGCCUAUGACUAGUUGACCGAGAGUCGUCCCUAUGGCAAAUAUAUAUCAAUAAACAUUUCUGAGACAAGUGUUGUAAAAAUUCGUUUAUGGAGCGAUUAAAUAUUGAAGUAAUAGCCAAAUUUUUGUUAAUCCCUUCACGAAAGAUUUGUAUGCUAAAUGUUGAAAUUAUAAAGAUAUGGUUUCUUGAAAGCUUAUUAUUUGACAAGAGAUUCUUUGUUAUAAUUUUUUCCGUUACACUCGUUACAUUAUUUAGUUGAUUGACAUGUGUUCCAUGCAAUAAUAAAUAAGAAUUUGAGUUUUAAAAUAUCUCUUAGUUUGGACCAAAACUAUACCCAGUUUGAAAAUCCUUACUUGUAUAAAAAAAUAGUGAGUUCAUCCAAGUAGUUUAAAUAGUUAGAAUGUGUGUGUAUUUGUGAAAGUAUAUUAGUGUGUAUUGUAAUGUGUUUGUAUGUGUAAAAAUAAUAUAUUUCAAAAAAUCUUAAAAAGUGAGUAUAUUUUUGUGUCUAUGAGUGUUUUAGUGUGUAAAAUUAUGUGUAUAUAUGUGAAAAUGUGUUUAUGUGUGUGAAAUUUUUUUUUUUUGUAUGUGAAAAUGUAUUUGAAAGAGUUUAUGUAUCAAAAUCUAUUAAUUAAUAUAUUGGGUCAUAUUUGGGUCAUGGGUUUGAGAUGACCCAAUAUGACUCAACCCAAAAUUAACCCAUUCUAAAGUUGGACAGGUUGGGUGUAACCCAUUUAAAUGAAAACCCAACACCAACCCGCCCAAAAUCCGUCCAACCCGCCCAAUUGCCAGGUAUACCAUAAAGCAUUAACGCGAUCUCUUAAUUUAGUCCAGCAAGAAACAACUUCAAAGCACAGUUUUAAACACUGAUUAGAUUUUAAAAAAAAAAAAAAAGAAUGUUAUUCAGUCCUUUUCCCGUACAGCGCCAAUAUCUAUCAUUUGAUCCUCGGCAUAUUUAUAAUUUACCAUCAUGCGCGAGCAUGGUGAUCAUCUCCUAGUGAAACCAAAACAAUGAAUCAAUGUGAACAUCAUAGCAAUCAUGUGAAAAGCUGAAACAGAAGCCAAAACAUGAAACAUGACCAAAACCUGGAGUUGAAACACGAAGCCAUGUAUUCAGCUCUGUUUUGAAACUCGGACCGGACCGGCCGGUCGGACCGGGAACCGGCCAGGUAGCCGGUCCGAGUCUUAUUAAAAAACCGGAAAUUUAAAACCCGGUCAAAAACCGGGUUUGACCGGAAAAAAAUCGAUUUUUCCGGUUCAACAGUAAUUUUUAAAAAAAAAAAAAUUCAAACUGUAUAAUAUUAUGUUUUGACCCCCUAAAUUGUUAAAACUUAUCGAUAUACCUCAAAUAUUUGAUACUUUAUAAAUAUUGUCCUAAAAUUUGAUGUUAUUUUUCAAUUAAACUCAUAAUUUUAAUUCUAAACUUGUUAAUAUUUAUUAAAUAAUAUAAAUUGCUACUUAAUUGUUCUAAUUUCUUUAUAUUUUCUUGUUAAAUAUAUUUGAAACAUCAAAUAUAUAUGAAUAUACCUUUUUUAAUAUCAAUAUAUUAUUAGAUAUUAUAAAUAUAAUAUUUUAAUUUUUAAAUAAUUUUUAUUUAUGACGUCAUCCGGUUCGACCCCUAUCGACCUCCGGUCGAACCCAUUGACCCCUGACCCCUGACCUUGGCCGAGUCGCUAUCCGGUCCGAUUCUGAAAAUAUAGGUAUUCAGUACAAAAGUGAACGAUCAGCCAAUUCAAGUUUGACCAAAGUGGGACCCAAUGAAUUCAAUGUAACCAAAGAGAACUCUUAUUGCAUGAUCUAUUAAACCUUUUCUUCACAAAUACCACAUGAAUUUAAUUUGGAUUCGUGCUGCAAAAAAAAAAUUCCGAAAAUAUUAGAUCUAGUAGAUCCAAUACAAACGACAUAGGAGCAGUCAUAAUUGAUAAUCUUUAAACUAAAACUUUCAAAGACUACAAAUUAUGGAUUUAAAACUUAACGAUUCAAAAUCUGAUAUUGGUUGCUCUAAUACCACUUGUAGGAGUUUCCAAGAUCUCAAUAUCAUAUAUUUGAAUACAACUGUAAUAUAAUCGCGGAAGCAUACCUGGAUUCAUAUUGACAAACUGCUACUUGAAUUCCUAGAGAUUUUUGGGUGGUCUUCCAGGUCAACACGUAUUUGCUAUUCUCUUGAAAGAAUCCUUUAAUUUCUCUCUAGUAUGUUUCCUAUGAUGGAUAUCAGGAAAGAGUUAUUUUGUGAUAUUAGAAAAUACGACGAUAAGAAUACGUGUAAUUUGGGGAUCAUAAUCCUAUUUAUAGAUAACUUUUUUGUUAUCUUUUGGACUCCUAUUUCAGCCCAUCAUAAAAAAAUAGGAAUUGCUCUUAAGUCUUUGCACAUUAAAGGUCUAUAUCCUAUUAGAUACAUUAAAGCCCAAAUCAUUAUUGAUCACUUUAAUUGGACUUAAUCAUAUUUGACAGUCUGCAACACAUAAUUAUUCAUAUAUAAGUCCAAUAUUGGAUUAAAGAUUCAACACUUAUAAGCCCAUACCUAAUUUCUACGAACAUAAACUCCGGCAAUUAUAGAUAUUAGAACUCCUAGAACAGCAAGAGAAAUCCCAUAGGGACAUAGACAUGAAAUACUUCCUUUUUGCAUUUUAGAAGAUUACUUGACCAUGCCAAGAGCAAUAUUCGAGUCAAUUGCUCCUUAAGGUUCAUAGCACAUCAACACUCUAUAAUUUCUCAAGUCAUGAUGACUCAUCUAAGAAGUUCCUUAAAUUUGCAAUUAUAGAACCUUAAACUCUAUUUUAAGAUGAUAUUUGGGAGGCAACUUCUUCAUACGACAAAUCCAAAAAAAUUCCUUAAAAAUUUGCAAUUGCAAAACCUUAAACUCUAUUUUAAAAGUUAAAACGUAUCACAUAGAAGGAUUACUUUGCAAAUUCAAGAACAAAAUUCAAGAAUUUCUGUGCAACUCAAAUAUAGAUCAAUAACAGUAGUUAAACAAAGAAAGUUCAUGGCUUUCCUAACUUAUGUCAAAUCCAAACAAAAUAAAGAAUAAUACAAAAAGAAUCUAGAAAUCAAAGAAGAGCCUUCCAGACUUUGAGAAACAGAACUGCUCUUAAAUUCUCAAUUAGCUUUUCUGUUGAAUUCCUUCACGUGUGCAAAAAAGGCAAACAUUCUUCUUCAUUAACCACCUUUUGAUGCAGUCGGCAGGGUACUCAUGCCUGCAUUCUAGAGUUCCAAUUGUCUCCUCAUCCUCAUACUCGCACUGGCAAACUACACAAAUUUCAGGUUCUUGAUCCACAAGUGUUUGAUAAUUUCUGAUUUUCUGGUGCUCUGAGAUGAUUGCUUCUUGCAAACCACUAUUUUUAUUAAUCCUGUCUUCUGGGACCAAUUGUUGCAGGAACUCAAUGAUUAGGUCAUCAGCAGGAAUAAAAGUCCUGAUGCUGGCAAGAUAUCUUUCCUCAUUGAUGAACUCCAAAUCCAAUGCACGUAGUGGAGUAUGAUCUUCUAGUGCAAAGCUCGAGCUCAAUCGCAAGUGCAUUUCAGAUUCUUGAAGCUGGUUCUCUAGUGGAUAGUUCUCCCCUGCAUCCAAAUCAAGUAUGGCAGUCUCACUGUCUAGGGUAAAGGUCAACCGGGAGAGGUUAUCUUGGCCUUGAUCAGAUUAUUGAAGCUGGUUUCCAAGUGGGUAGUUCUCCUUUGCAUCCAAAUCAAGUAUGACAGUCUCAUCUUCUGGUGCAAAGCCGAAAUGGGAAAGGAUGUCUGGUCCGUGAUCAGAUUCUUGAAGAUGGUUCCGGGGCCAUUGGAGGUUCUGUUCUUGAUUAAGAUAGUAAUUAUUAUUCUGAUCAUAGUACAUCGGUUCAGCAGGAUGACCGUAGUCGUAUUGCACAGGGCUAGGAAGAAAAAAAUCCCGAGAAUCAUAGCCUAGCUGAAUGAAUUGAGGAUAAACUGGGAAGCCAUAAGCUGACGGAACAGGGUAAAAAGGAGUCUGAUCAGGCAGGGGGAGGGAAGCACAGUGUUCGGUGUAAAUUCCCAUGUUUCCUUUGCGGAUAAGUUUGGUAGUGAUGAUAAUGCUGAUGAAGAGCAGAUGAAUAGAAAUGCUGUUGCUGCAUUUUUGUUGGAGAGAUUUUUUCAAAAAUGAUACCCUAGUAUGAAUAAUAUGAAGCUCACGUUAUGAACUCUGAUCCUUAUAUAGGAGUUGCAGAAUCUAGAUCUGGUUAGGACAUGGAUUUGAUUUGAAUUUUAGUGGAAAAGUCGAAAUCAAUUCGUUUAGGAACACAGGUUUUGGAAACUUUCCUUUUUUUCUGAUUGCCAUCAAAGAAGAAAGCGCGCUUAUGAAUUGCGCUCACAGCCAACGCUUUUAACUCAUCCAACAACACAAUGUUAAGAAGGCCAAGAUUAGAUUGGGCCUCAGGCUGUGAUUAUGCACUCAAACUCAAAAUAUUCCAAAGAAAAAGAAGUAUUUGGCAAUUCAGCAUAUUUGAUUAAGCGAAGAAAUGAUCAUUAGUAGCGAAACCUUAAAAAAUAUCAAAAUUACCAUUAUUUAAAAAUUAAAAUGGUUGAGGUGACCAAAAUAUAUAAAUACGCUUUUAUUUUAUUAAUUAUUACUAUUCCAGAUAUGUAAUGGUACGGUAUUCUUUGGACUACAAAAUCAAACUAAAUUCUAGAGCAAGAUUUGAUAACUAAUAGUCAACAAAUUGGAGUUCAUUUAUCAACAACAGAUUUUUUUUUCUUUAAUUGGCUCUUUCUUUUUGCUUAAUUUUUUUCCCUUUUGUGUAUUAAUUAACCUGUUAGGUAGACCCUUUUAUUAAUUAGCUCAAGUUUAUUGAAAUCCUAUAAUAAGGUUUGACUUGGGUCAAUAUAUUAUUCUAACUACAUUAUACUGAUGAAUGCUUCAUGCCCUUUUGUCAUAUUAUUUUCAUUUUGGUUUGAGCAGUAGAAUUAUGGGUGCAAGUGAGUAGCUCGAUGCUUGACUUGUGAAAAUUUCGACUCGAGCUUGAUGACUUGGCUCAAUUUGAUCUUGUUCAAGUAGUAAAUCGAAUCGAGUUUUAGAUUUAAAAUGUUUGUUUGCAUGUCUAAUCAAGCCUAAUCAAAUAUUACUUGUUAUUUAAUUUUAGUUUUUAUUUUCAGUAUUAUUUAAUUUUUUAUUUGUUAGUUUUUAUAUUCAAUUUUGACUCGACUUGAUUACAUCUCUAUGCAAAAUGACGUGUAAUGUCAUUGUAAGGAUGUAUUACAGUAUAUUAUAUAGUGCCUUCAAUACCAAAUUGACAAUUUCAUAUAUCUCUAGAUGAAUUUUUUCAAUUUCAAAAUAUAUGAUUAAAAAAAGACUUUCGGAAAUUGAUCCGGACAAUACAAAAUUUUCAAUAGUUGUCGAAUACUUUGCCUUUCAGCAAUGAAGAAAUUAAGCUCCAUCAAAUUUAGCAUGCCCAGCCAAUUUAACAUGAAUCAAGCAAGUAAUAUAGUGUCAAAUACUAUGCACUAACACAUCAGCAGAAUAAGCUAAAAAAACACAUAAAUAUUUGUCCAACAAUGAAGUUCAUAUUUCAUAAAAUAGAUGAGAAGUGAAACUAGAAAAAUACCAAAACAACAAAUUACAAUUAUAAGGCACUUGAAAAAGAUGGAAGGCUGGGAGGAAUUGGAAUGUCACCAGUUCCUUCGAGCAUCAGUAGAACUUUCUUCAUGGAUGGACGAAGUGCCGGCUCUUCUUGGAUGCACCAAAGAGCUAUCUUGAUCAUUCUUUCCAGUUCUCUCACGUCAUCAACCUCCUCAUCACCAACCAAUUUGUAUAGCUCUCCAGCCUCAAAACAUUGAUUAGCCCAUUCUUCAAGAAUUGCUUCAUUCUCAGGACUGGUACAGUCUACGCUUUUUCGGCAGCAUAUGAUUUCUAACAGCAUAAUUCCAAAGCUGUAAACAUCUGCUUUAACUGUCACAGGCAAGUUCCUGAACCAUUCUGGUGCAACAUAGCCUCUUGUUCCUCUUACUCCUGUAUAAGUUCUGGUUUGAUCAUUUUUCAACAGCUUUGCCAAUCCAAAAUCAGAAAUCUUGGCACAUCUGCUUUCAUCCAUGAGUACAUUCUGAGGUUUGAUGUCACAGUGGAUGAUUUGUGUCUCACAUUCUUCAUGUAAGUAAAGAAUACCUCUA
rnacentral:lncRNA from 1 species